GGGCCAAGUCGCGGCACGGCCACUUUAAGGUGCUGGAGCGGUUCGACCACGAGCUGCUCCGGGGUUCCAUCGGCGACUACCGCGUCGCGUACCUGGACGCGGCGCCGCGCGCGUUCCUGCAGCCCAGUCACCACGACGCAGACGAGAUCGCCUUCGUCAGGGAAGGCGAGGGCGUGCUCGUGUUGCUGAGGAACGGGAAGCGGGAGUCGUUCUGCAUCAGGGAGGGCGACGUCAUCGUGAUCCCGGCCGGAUCCAUCGUGUACUCCGCCAACACGCACCGGUCCAAAUGGCUCCGCGUCGUCAUGUUCAUCAACCCCGUCUCCACGCCGGGCCGCUUCCAGGUGAGCGUGAGCCAUGGCCGCGGCUUGCAGACUUCUCUGCCAUCUCCGUUUGCAUGCAAUUGCAACCUUACUUUUGGUGUUCUUGAUCUGUUGGUAGGAGUUCUUCCUUAUUGGAUCUGGAGACGAGCGCCCGCAGUCCUUCUUGAGCGUCUUCAGCGACGAGGUUAUCCAGGCCGCAUUAAACGUGCGUACGCGCUGACCAUCGGCACUGAUUAUUUGUUUGAUCAUCACUCAAUUCAGCUCGAUCAAGUUUUUGUGGGAUUCUGCUUAUUUUUGUAACAGACUCGGCGGGAGGAUGUGGACAGAGUGUUUGAGAGCAAAAGCAAGGGUGAGGGUGAGAUAUAUGAGGCGUCGGAGGAGCAGAUACGGGAGCUGAGCAGGUCGUGCUCCAGGGGAGGACGCGGCGGCGGCGGCUCGGGUUCCGAGAAGGAGGACAUCCAGCCGCGCAGCCUCACCGGCGAGAAGCCGCGCUACUCGAACAAGCACGGCAGGUUCCACCAGAUCACCGGAGACCAGUGCCACCACCUCCGCAAGCUCGACAUGGAUGUGACCCUCGUCAACAUCACCCGGGUAAAGCAUCGGCGCCGCGCAUACAGAUAGUUCUGUAGCAUCAUGCAACGGAUUUGUUCGCCUAAACCAAUGUGUGUUUCGUUGUGCGUGCAUGCAUGCAGGGCUCGAUGACGGCACUGAAGUACACCACCCGGUCGACCAGGAUCUACGUCGUCGUGGAGGGGCGCGACGGCUACUUCGAGAUGGCGUGCCCGCACAUCUCCAGCUCCGGCCGUUCUGAACGCCGUGAGCACGAGCAAGAGCGCGAGCGCGAGCACGGGCAGGGCAGGAGGAGCGAGGAGCGCGAGCGUGAGCAGGGGCGGGGCAGGAGGAGCGAGGAGCGCGAGCAGGAGCAGGGAAGGCAGGAGGAGGAGCAGGGCCACGGCCGGGAGCAGGAGAAAUCGAGGGGCUACAGGCAGGUGAGGGCCCAGAUCAAGGUGGGGUCGGUGAUCGUGCUCCCCGCGGGCCACCCGGCGACGUUCGUGGCCGGGAACGACGGGAACCUCGCCCUGCUGUCCUUCGGCGUGGGCGCCAACAACGACGAGGAGGUGUUCGUGACCGGCGGGAACAGCGUCCUGAAGCAGCUGGACGAGGCGGCCAAGGCGCUGUCGUUCCCCCAGCAGGCGAGGGAGCUGGCGGACAGGGUCAUCCGCGCGCAGCCGGAGUCCGUGUUCGUCGCCGGCCCGCAGCAGCAGCGCCGCGUCGCCGACAUGUGAGCGACGAUCUCGAGCGUGCCGUGUGCAGUUCGUGGAGCUGCAUGCAUGAGUGUACAUGUGACGGGAAUAAAUAGCUAGCACGUACGGCACUGCCUACUACAGUACUACGUGCGUGUAGCAGAGGAGAGGAGAGACGAUGCUCUGUGUACGGGAUGUGCAUGCUUGUGUUCGUGUGCGUUUAUGCAUGCAUGCACGUGAGUUUUCUAUGUAUGUAUAGUACGUGAGUUUUCCGGUAAUAAAAGACGUGACCUUGCCCGUCUGCUCGUUGGAACAUGUCGGUGAAAAUUGCACUUUUACUCCUACAGUGACGUGCACAUAUAUCGAUCGAGUGAGUGAAGUCUAUUUUAAACCCUGAAGUUGUAGAGCAUGUCAUGAAUGAACCUUCACGUCUAAAUCCCUGAAAUUGAUACCUGACUUCUUCAAUCCCGGUCAUUUUUGACCUUUAGGCCGUAUCCAAACAGAAAAGGCCGGGAUGAGUGAAUUGUGCAACACAUGUUUUGGGGGCCCACCUAGAGAAAGAAAUAAAGAAAUAUUAAAUAUUUAAAUUCCCUGAAAUUGAUACCCUGACUUCUUCAAUCCCGGUCAUUUUUGACCUUUAGGCCGUAUCCAAACAGAAAAGGCCAGGAUGAGUGAAUUGUGCAACACAUGUUUUGGGGGCCCACCUAUCAGCAUGAGAAAGAAAUAAAGAAAUAUUAAAUAUUUAAAUUUUAAACCAGAGAACUCUGGGUUCAAGUUGUGCACGUCCUAAGCCUGCGCUGGUGCAUGCGCACGCUGUUGCGUCGCCGAACCUGGCUGUGGCACUGCGAAUGGAGCAGGCCGCGACAGGGAUAAUGGAGACGUGCCUGAGCGCGGCUACCCGUGCGUGGCCUAAUGUCGUUGUUGACUAGGCCCUGAUCACUCCACGGCGACUACUUUCCGGCGGUCGAACGCGUACAUACACUGGCGAAGUAGUAUGACAUGUAGAUUGCUUUCCGGCGAGACGUGCAAAUACACAAGCCACACUUGAUCGAUUCUUUCAGGAGAAAACACUAACGUACGUAGCAAGCUGGCUACCAAAGCCUUCUGUAUUGAUCCUGAGGCUAGCUAGUUGAUUAAUGGCGCAAUAUUUUCGUUUUGCCAGGUAGCUAGUGUUAACAAUAAUACUUUAGAGUUAAGAUAACUAGGAUCUGGAUCUCUUGAUUAGAACACCCAUCAAGCAGAAUAGUGGUUACUAACCGUGAUUAUCUUGAUCCAUUAACAGGAUAGCCCCUGGCUCCACCUUAGCAUCUCCAGCAGUGAGAAGAUCGUCGGGAGGAAGGGCAUCAGCAGGCGAUGUAGCAGACACGAAGGAUGCCGCCGGCACGGACCUGGAGGUGGCCGGCGGUGGAGGUGGUCUUCUGAUCCCCUUAAGCACCCUUUCAGGAUCGGCUGUUAGGAGUAACCGGGUGCUAACCCGUGCGUGUGUUACACCCCAAGGGGUACGACCUCCUCAUUUUGUAAGUGGUGCGAAGGGGACAGGGACCAAAACCAAAAGUUGGGUCAAUGCCCCCGAUCAGGGCAUGUACUGGGGAUGCAAAUCCUCCCCUUCUUUGUCUCAGUUUGUUAUAACCGUAGAUCAAUUCCAACAUUCUCCCCCUUGAUCAUAUGGUUAAUAAACAUCAUAAGCCCACACUCGAUAGAAAUAACAUACCAAAAUAAAGUGUUGCAAUGACCAAUGAGAUGCCACUGAACCUCUUUACCUAUAGUACAUCACUCUAUCUCGAAAUGGAAAACAUAAUACUUUUUGGGAGUUGGUUUAUAAGAUGGUCCUAAUUUCCAGGAUCAAAAAGCUUUCCUAACCCAUGCCGGCAACAUAAUCAUGAGUAUGGGUGGUGAGCCUCUUUGGUAAACGGAUCCGUAAUACAUACAAAUCAUUUUUAUAUGCUUAACAUCAUUAGCUUGAUCUUGGAUUCUAUCUUUCACAACAUGAUACAUAUUGUCAAUGGUUUUGGCAACACCAUUUGACUUGUUGUUACUCGCAUAGAAAACUGCGUGUUCAUAAUGCAGUAGGUGGUUUUUAUAAAUGUUGUCUACCACCUUAAUUUCGGGAAUAGAACUUCUUUGACAUACAACCCGCCCAAUAGCCUCUUAACGUGCCACAUCGUAAAUUGCAUUAUUUCUAAUGCCAUCAAUGUCAUUAUGGAGCUUUUCCACGAUAUAGCUCCAUAUGCGAGAGUGAGGAUGUAACAUAACGUGGAAACUUUAAUAUCCACACACCUCGCAGAAACAAUGUCUGAAUAACCAAGGAUAUUGAGGUUAUCAGACUUGUUAGUAGUGAGCAUGUAAACUUUUAUUGCCUUGCAUAUCUACAAGACUUUUCACGGCUUCUCCGGUUGUCCAUUUCUGGACUUGUAUAUUUGCCAAUUAUCCCAGUCAUAAAUAGGGCAAGUUGAUAUUUGAAUACUUGCAUUGCUUCUGACAACUGAAGCAUAAGGAACUAACAUUACCUGAUCAGUUCAUAAUGGUCCCUUGGACACUAAACUGUCCACCUUUAUUGCCCUUGAAUUUAGUAGCAGGUGAGAUAGAGUACGUACUACCAUGUAAUAUUUUCUUCCGUACUCUAUCAAUGAUGUCAUCAUAAUAAAACUUAUACUCCUUUUGAACCUAUAUCUUGGCGAAACUCAAUAGAAGCAAAGUAUGAGGCAUCACCAAGAUCCUUCAUGUUACAAAUAGAAGAUAGAAAUUACUUGGCUCGCCAAAAUAUUCUAUCUCCACAAGGUAGUGACCUUACUCCCCCUCGUCUUAUGGUAUGAGUGUCCCAACACUUGUAUUAUCUCAUAAUUGUAUUUCUUUAGAUAACAUGCCUUAUGUCAACUUCACCCAUGACAUAACCGUACAGUUGAGUCAUACAUACAUUAUCAACUAAGUCAACACAAGAGCAUGUCAUAGUAAUAACACAAAUGUCACAACAACUCACUGAGGAAUUCUAUGGAGUUCCAUACAUCAUUAGGGCUCAUAAUCUUCAUCCUAUAUGGCAACAAGCCACUAAGAUGAUCAUUCACACACAUUAUCUAUCGUAGGGAAAUUGUUGAGUCUCAACAAUAAGUAUUGCAUUAGAGAAAAAUAAAUUCCCCUCAAUUUACCUGAUGCAUAUGAACAAAGAUCUAAUGAAGUUAUCCUUAAGAUUAAUGUUCAUACGCUCCAGGUUCCCUGAUGAUCACUUUAUUUAGAAGAUGGAAAAUAUAUCCAAAAUAUUAAUAACAAUCAUCUCAGCUCUAAACCACAACACCGUUGGGCUGAAGAUGGAAAAGAACUUAAUGAACCGUGACAAAUGAUUAUAAACAACGUUAGUCAGAAAUAUAACCACAAGCCACAUAAUACUGACAAACAUGCCACUUGAGUGAGUGUCCCAUAUGAUCAUAAACGACGUUGGUCAGAUAUAUAAUCAACAUGAUACAUCAUGAUGGUCAUUAGACUAGCAAGCUUGCCACUUUAGCAUUCAUGUGUGCUUCAUAAUGCUCAUAAGGGACUAAGUACACAUUAACAUAAUAAAGGAGUUAUUUUUCAUUCAUUCUUCUAAAUAAGACUUGUUGCAUCUUAAUUAGACAACCAACAUUAUAAUGUGCUUUUCAUACAUUCUCUCCAACCAAGACUUCUCGUUGGUUCCAUCUUAAUUAGAGAAUUGAGAUACAUAUUUUGCUUAGUUGUACAUGAUAUGGUCUAAGUAGGAGAAGUGAACGUCACAUCUCAUAUUAAAUGAGACUUCCAUUCUCCCCCUCGAAAUGUGGUCUAAAACCACAAUUUUGAUGAGGUCUCAUUAGUUACACUUCUUUUACAUCUUCAAUUGUAACAUAGCAUAUAAUCUUUACAAAAGAUUUAUUUAGUGAAAACAUAACUCAUCUCACCAAGGUGGGACUACAUAAUUGGAGUUGACUUAAUAACAUACAAAAUCACCUCAUCUGUUUGAGAGUUAAGGUUCUCCAAUAACUAGGAGCAUGAACAAAAUAUCAUCAAUAAGAUGGAAAAAUUAAGUCAUCUCCAAAAGCUAGUGGAAUAAAUCCAAUAGUUUUGACUUUAGUCUCCUUUGCAUUAGUAAUGUGCAUGAUGGCACAUGCGUCUUGAGAUCUCUCCCAAUGUCUGCCUUAUCAUCAUGAUUAACAUCCUUCAACCUUAGUGGCAGAAAAACAUUGGGAGAUUCCUUACAUGAGACAAUGAUCUCCACUCUCCAUGUGGGAAAGUUCUUUGCAUAAGGUUCGUCUAUGUCAAACAUUUGUUUGACAUCAUUAUUAUUGUUGGAAAAAAAAGGAGACAACUGUAUGAUCAUCAUAACAGAGAAUCAAGCAUAAACUAACCAAGCAAUAAGAUGAACAAAGAGCAUGCUUAAUUUUUAUUCUAAUCUAUAUCACCGUUGGGUAGAUAAUGAGAAAGAACCUUACUUACUCGUAAAUGACACAUGAGAAACACAAGCAAUGUUGGCCAGAAUAUCAUCAUAUGCAAUUAGAACAUUUGCUCAUUAAAUCUCUAAUCAAAACUUCUCGUUGGUUCCAUUUUGACCAGAGAGAUAUAAAAUCUUGCAAUGACCAGGAAGAACUACGACUAAAUUAAUUGCCAUCAUUAACAUAAAGCAAUGUCAUAAUAUAAUCAUGUGUGCCAUGAGGCACACUGAUGCCUUUUGACACUAAAUCUCACAAUGAUAAUAUGAAUAUUGAACAUAAGUGUCAAAAUUAUCAUUAGAAUUCUCAAUGACAUACAAUGAAAAUGACAUUGGAAUUAACAUAUAAACAUAAAUGUUACUCUCACCGAGUAAACACUAAAGAGGACAUUCAGAGUGAAAAUACCAUUAAUAUUAUCGCCAGGAUAUCAUAACAUUUUCCCAAAAAAAAUUGGACAUAAAUUUUUCGCAAGGAUUCACAAAAUAACAACAUUUGGCAAAUAAGAGUUGUCAAACAUAUGACAACAUGUACUUUCGAAAACAAUUUUUUUUUGUUUAGGGGAUUGAUCAUAACCCAAUAAACAUUAUUUGAGUCUUUAUGCAUAUUUCAAUGGUGUAUAUCAUAAUAAAAUGACAUGAAAUGCACCAAGAAAAAAACUUUAUUUUUCCCAAUAGACAUAAUGCCCCAACAUUAUUAUGACACAUAGUGCGGUGCGGAAAACCGAACCACGCGUCCAUCAUCAUUUUCCUUGAGGUGGCCCGAGCCCAUUAGAAAUUACCACAUCUUUAAGAAAAAGUCAUAAGUAUGGCAUCAACAUUAAAUUCACACUCAAAUAAGUUUGCAUAUAAAAUAUUUGAAACAUUACGAAAUGAAACAUUAUAGAUUGUGAUCAUGACAAAUGUCAUUUCAUAACAUUAAUAUUUAAACUUUAAAAUGAUAAAAAUAAAAUACCACCACUAAAAAUGCCAUAUAUGGCAUUUACAUUAUACCACAUUAAUAUUUUCCAAAUAAAAUUUCUCAUUGGUCCAUUUUAUUCAGAAAAUUCAAACAUUAUCUUUAGCAUAAUUUAGGCAAUCAAGACGUAUUAACAGUGCAUAAAAAAUUAUUACUAAUAUUAACAACAUGAUUCAAAAGCAUCAAAAAUACCAAUUGCCUAAAAGACAUAAUUUGGCUGAUAGGAACCCACGGCAGCCCUUUAAAGAAAAAAAACAAUAUCAUUAUUAAUACUGCCUGUUAGACAUUUUUGGGCAUAUUGUUUCUUAAUAAAACAGUGCAUAAACCAUCAAAAGAAAACUUGAAACAACCCUUUUUUUAGUCCACUUGAAACACAUCAAAUGCACUGAAAAUAAACAAAACGACUCGAUACUUAUUUUCGGCCUAAAACCAACGGCAACCCAUAAAAGGAACGAUCCAGCAGCUAAAUUCGUUAACAUAAGAAAACUUUAUACUGGGCCAACACAACCUGGGUCGUAGCCUACGGCCAGAUUAGGCCCGCUAAGCCACCCGCAGCCCGACUGCAGCGGAGCAUCAACGUCAGCCGUCGAUCCCAUCUAACGGUUGUAAGUUGCUCCCUUCGGAACAAAACUGACUUGCGCUGGCAAACCCUAGCGCAUUCUUCUCUCCUCCCCCGCUUUCUCCGCUCGCGACCGACCAGAAACGCCACUGGCGGCGGCACAAAGCAAGGCGCGAGAGCCCGGUGUCCAUGGCGGUUCGGCGGCUCCGCUCGCCGGAGCAGCGUGCAACGGAGGGAUCCCGCGCGCUGCUCCGUCGAGCGUGGCCACCCGUGCAGCUACACGACAUUUAUUGCGGGAUGCCAGAGGAGAGAGCAGUGGUGCUAGGUCGGCCAUAAGUGCCCGCCGGCGGUGACGCGAGGCACUCGGCGUCAUCCAUUAGGCGUCGUAAACCUGCGGCUCGUCCGCCGCUGCGAAUGGCGAUGGCACGCCUUCAACGAUGCUGCUGCAACAUGAGGUACUGACGUUGACGCGCAUGGUGUGGUGGCCAUGCUCGUAGGCGUCCAUGAUGUGUGUGCGGCACGGCAACAUCUUCAAUCUGGAGCGGGUAAGCACCCCCAUCCCAAACACGUUGAGGAUUUAUUCUUUGCUUCUAGUGCUCGGGAUUUGGGGAAAAACUGCUCUUUUUUUUUUCUCGGGAUCUUUUCUUAAAAAAAAAUUGAAUCCUUUUCUGAACCGAGGCCACAAUCAGUGCUAAUAUAUUAGGCGAAAAAUUUAAUUUCGGCUAUUUCAUAAUUAGCAAACAUUAGUCAGGGCAAUUAGCACUUAACCCAGAUGUCAUCAUCAUUAUUCUGUAAGCGGAAGCGAUUUAUGCAUGAACAUUACUCAAAUUCGUAAGGAAUUAGACCAUGAUUGGUAAAUAACAUAAACCGAGUCUAAUUGGAGUUCUUAAACAGAGAUCAAACUGGCUCAAGAUACCAAUGUUAACAAUAAUACUUUAGAGUUAAGAUAACUAGGAUCUGGAUCUCUUGAUUACAACACCCAUCAAGCAGAAUAGUGGUUACUAACCGUGAUUAUCUUGAUCCAUUAACAGGAUAGCCCCUGGCUCCACCUUAGCAUCUCCAGCAGUGAGAAGAUCGUCGGGAGGAAGGGCAUCAGCAGGCGAUGUAGCAGACACGAAGGAUGCCGCCGGCACGGACCUGGAGGUGGCCGGCGGUGGAGGUGGUCUUCUGAUCCCCUUAAGCACCCUUUCAGGAUCGGCUGUUAGGAGUAACCGGGUGCUAACCCGUGCGUGUGUUACACCCCAAGGGGUACGACCUCCUCAUUUUGUAAGUGGUGCGAAGGGGACAGGGACCAAAACCAAAAGUUGGGUCAAUGCCCCCGAUCAGGGCAUGUACUGGGGAUGCAAAUCCUCCCCUUCUUUGUCUCAGUUUGUUAUAACCGUAGAUCAAUUCCAACAGCUAGCUAUGCACGUAUAGCAAACUACCACUCGACAAUCCUUGAUUGAUCUGACGUAGCCGCUGAUCCGCCAAGUACCGGCGUCCUCCGGUCCUUGAGUCACCGUCACCGGCGAGUGCUCCACUGGCAGCCCCACGUCGCCGCGCAAGGAUGGAGGAGGAGCAGCAGUCAACAACGAGGUGGCCUGCGGGUUUAAAGCAGCUGGACGGGCGGCCAGUGAAGGCGGUCAUCAGCGCAGACCGUGGAGGCGCGGUCGUCGGCCGUGCAUGCCCUGCGCAUGCUUGGGAGGAGGGAGAAGGGAGACAAAGGAGGAAAGAGAAGAAGGCGGCGGCGCUGCGGUGUCCUCGCCGGCGACGGUGAGCCGUGCCUGCGUGGGGCAGUGAUCGAGCGCGAGCUCGCCAGGGGCACGGGCAGGGUCGAACGUCUCUGGCGGCGGCGGAUCGAACGGGAACGGGAGGAAGGAGAUGGACUAGGCAGGGGAAUUUUUUUAGGUAUGGAGAGGCUAGUCAAUAACUUGGUCAAAGACAGCAAUCCCGGUCUGUGAAUACAACGUCAUCAAAUCCACUCCUUAAACUGCCCGAAGGUUUAUUUAGACCGGGAUCGAUAAGGUUAGGGUAUCAAUUUUAGGGAUUCAAACGUCAAGGUUCAUCUACGUCGUACUCUACAAUAUUAAGGUUUAAAACAGACUUCACUUCGAUCAAGUAAUUGACAAAAACAAGACUUGUCACGUACCGGAACGGAAGAACCGGAGCACAGGCCAAGCGAUCGACCUGAGUCACGAUCCUCUCGCCAGCCACUUUCCAGCCGGAGUCAGGACAGUUACUAGUAGGCCGAGCGAAGCACGGGGAGUGACCACCAGCAGAGCAGUUCACAGACAGCAAGCAAGCAAGCGCGCGGAUCGAUCGGGAGCGGCGGCGAUGGACGACGACUUCGGCUGCGUGAUCGGCGUCGCGGGGAGGGGAGAAUUCGCGGUGGUGGCGUCCGGAACCCCCAUCGUGCACCUCGACGCCCACAGGCUUCUCGCCAUCUCCGGCAGCCACCAGAACCGGUAACGACUGAGCGAGCUAGAUCCAAUCCACCUCCACCCGCCGCCUCGCUCGAUCCCGGCCACCUUCCAUUCCAUGGCUUCUGACCUCAGCUUCCCGCCCGUGUUUUGCUUUGGCAGCCCAAGGUUCGCGAGGACGAUGUGCCGCAGAUGGAAGGGGCUGACCGGGGUGCCGUACCCCGACACCGCCACGGUCGCCGACCUCGCGCGCGAGCUGCUCGACCGCGGCCACUCCGUCGAGGCCCUGGUCGUGGGCUACAACCAGGCCCAGCCCCACGCGGCGGUGAGCUGCCUCGGCCCCGCGCUCCCGCGCGGCCAGUUCCUGUUCGGGGCCGCGGGGCGGGGAGCGGAGGCCUGCAGGGCGGUGCUGCGCCGGGGCUACCGCGACACCAUGUCGUCCAGCGACGUGAUCGAGCUCGUGGAGAGUUGCAUCGCGGAGAUCCGCCGGCUCGGGGUUCCCGGGGCUGCCGGCGAGUUUGCGGUCCAGUAUGUUGACAGAUGGGGAGCGGCGCCCGUGGGAAGGGAGGUCAGGGAGACCAUGACUAUCUAUCGACAGAUGUGUUGAAAUAUUAGAUGGGCCUAGAGUCCAUAUAACAAUUUCAGAUUUGAUUUUUAAGGGCCCAUGUAGGAGGCAUGAUAAGGUGGUGGAAAGUUUAGUCUCACCCCGGAAGUGGAAGGAGAGUUGGAGUGGUUUAUAAGGAAUUUUCUUCCUCAUGCUAUUGGAGAUUGAGAAGAGAUGAGCCCUCGCGCACCCCUCCUCCGCUCGCCACGCCACGCCACGCCACGCCACGCACUCCUCAUACCUAAUUUGUGUAGGAGUUUUUCGAAUUCUGGUUUUGCUGCUGCACUAAAACCGUCGCCGUUUACGGGGACGUACUUUAAGCGUUGGCAGACUAAAACCAUCUUAUGACUCACUACUAUGAACGUGUUCCUCGUGGCAGUUCUGAGCGUGAUUGGAGAUAAGCUGGUUGACGCAUAUUUGCAUGUGCGGUCUGCCAAGGACUUGUGGGAGGCGCUCGAAUCUAAGGUUGGGACUGCCGAUGCAGGGAGCGAGAUGUAUAUUAUAGAGCAGUUCCAUGAUUACAAGAUGGUUGAAAAUCGUCCUGUAUUGGAGCAGGCUCAUGAGAUAAUAUGAGGAGCUUGAGCUUCUUAAGUGUGAGUUACCGGGCAAGUUUGUCGCGGGCUGCAUAAUCGCUAAGCUUCCCAAUUCCUGGAGGAACUUUUCCAUCACUCUGAAACAUUAGAGGCGUGAAUUCUCUGUGGAGGAUGUCAUUGGCCAUCUGAGUGUUGAGCAGAAUUCAAGGGCAAAGGACUCGCACGGAAAAGGGGUCGAAGGAACUUCUGUGGCCAACAUGGUGGUGCAUCAGAAGAACUCCAAUUCCCACAAGCCCAAGGGAAAGAACGGUGUCCAACAGAGUGCCGACUUUAAGAAGAAGGGUAAGAAGACCUUCAAGAAGAACAAGAAGGAUGAGGGCUGCUUUACUUGUGGUUCGCUUGAACAUUGGGCCAACAAGUGCCCAAACAAGUAUAAGAAGCAAGGACAGGACUCCAAGUCUGUCAAUACGAUUGUGAGCAACAAUGAGGGUGGUGCAUCUGGUACGGUAAUUUAUUUGCUGUAUUUUCAGUUUGGCCGUCCACCGAUUGGUGGGUCGACACAGGUGCAGGUGUUCAUGUGUGUGCUGACAUUUCAUUGUUUUCUUCUUACCAGGCCACAGGUCACGGGUCCGUACUGAACGUGUGCCAAGAACUCGGAGGUGCCGGAGUAACGGUGCUUGGAUCGGUUGGAACGGGAAGACAUACGACUACUUCCUCUACGUUGCGUCAACGCUUCCGCUUCGGUCUAUGAGGGUACGUAGACAACACUCUCCCCUCUUGUUGCUAUGCAUCACCAUGAUCUUGCGUGUGCGUAGGAAUUUUUUUGAAAUUACUACGUUCCCCAACAGUUAGAUACGCCGAGUUUAUCCAAGGCAUGGUGGGGGGAGGCUAUAAUGACAUCCUGUCAUGUCCUGAAUAAAGUUCCGACAAAGGAUAACGAGACCACUCCUUACGAGAAGUGGACCAAGAGAAGGACAACACUCUCGUACUUACGGACCUGGGGCUGCUUGGCGAAAGUUAAUGUGCCGAUCCCCAAAAAGCGUAAACUUGGACCAAAGACUGUGGACUGUGUUAAUUUGGGCUACGCUAUGAAUAGUGUUGGCUAUAGAUUUUUAGUAGUGAAAUCAGAGGUACCUGGCAUGAAAGUCGGUACAAAUAUGGAGUCUAAAGAUGCUACAUUCUUUGAGGACAUUUUUCCCAUGAGAGAUGUACAAAGCACUUCUAGACAGGAAUCUGAGGAGACUCCUGAACCUGCCAUUCCGAUGGAAUAUUAUAAUCAAACACAUGAUGAAAAUCCUGAGGAGGAUAAUGAGGAAUCCCUUGGUAGGGGCAAGAGACAAAGGACUGUAAAGACCUUUGGUGAUGAUUUCUUCAUAUACCUCGUGGAGGAUAAUCCCACUUCUAUUUCAGAAGCGUACGCAUCUCCAGAAGCUGACUACUGAAAGGAUGCGGUCCGUAGCGAGAUGGAUUCCAUCAUGGCUAACGGGACUUGGGAGCUUACUGAACGUCCUUAUGGUUGCAAACCAUUGGGAUGCAAGUGGGUGUUCAAGAAGAAGCUUAGGGCUGAUGGUACGAUAGAAAAGUACAAGGCUAGGCUUGUGGCCAAGGACUACGCCCAGAAAGAAGAAGAAGAUUUCUUCGACACUUAUUCACCUGUGGCCAGACUGACCACCAUUCGAGUAUUACUCUCGUUGGCGGCCUCGCAUGGUCUUCUCAUUCAUCAGAUGGAUGUUAAGACGGCUUUCCUGAACGGAGAGCUAAAGGAGGAAAUCUAUAUGCAACAGUCAGAUGGCUUUGUGAUGGAUGGUCAGGAAGGAAAGGUGUGUAAGUUGGUGAAAUCUUUGUAUGGCCUGAGACAAGCGCCUAAGCAAUGACAUGACAAGUUUAAUGAAACGUUGACAUCUGUUGGCUUUGUUGUUAAUGAGGCUGACAAAUGUGUAUACUAUCGCUAUGGUGGGGGCGAAGGAGUUAUACUGUGUUUGUAUGUUGAUGACAUACUGAUAUUUGGGACUAAUCUCAAGUUGAUCGAGGAGGUUAAGUCUUUCCUAUCUCAGAAUUUUGAGAUGAAGGACCUUGGAGUGGCUGAUGUUAUCUUGAACAUCAAGCUAUUAAGAGAUGAUGAGGGGGGAUUACACUUUUGCAAUCCCAUUAUGUUGAGAAGGUGUUGAGUCGUUUUGGAUAUUCGGACUGCAAACCAUCUCAAACACCAUAUGAUUCUAGUGUGCUGAUUCGAAAGUCUAAAGGCACAGCUAUAGAUCAAUUGAGAUACUCUCAGAUUGUUGGUUCACUACAGUAUCUAGCGAGCGCAACGAGGCCUGACAUCACAUUUUCUAUUAGCAAACUGAGCUGAUUUGUUUCCAAACCGGCUGAUGUACAUUGGCGUGCUCUUGAGAGAGUUAUGCGCUAUCUGAAAGGUACUAUGAACUAUGGACUUCACUAUACCGGAUACCCGUCGGUACUUGAAGGGUAUAGUGAUGCAAAUUGGAUCUCUGAUGCUGAUGAGAUGAAGGCCACAACUGGGUAUAUAUUUACUCUUGGAGGUGGUGCUGUUUCCUGGAAGUCUUGCAAGCAAACGAUCUUAACAAGAUCGACAAUGGAAGCAGAAUUAACAGCAUUAGACACAUCGGGUGGCGAAGCAGAAUGGCUUCGAGAUCUGUUGAUGGACUUGCCAGUGGUUGAGAAGCCGGUUCCGGCCAUCCUUAUGAACUGUGACAAUCAAACAGUUAUUGUCAAGGUGAAGAGUUCAAAGGACAACAUGAAGUCCAAGAAACACAUAAGAAUGAGAUUGAAAGCUGUCAGAAAAUUGAGGAACUCCGGAGUGAUAGCGUUGGAUUAUAUUCAAACGGCUAAGAAUCUGGCAGAUCCCUUUACUAAAGGGCUAUCACGUGUUGUGAUAGAUAACGAUCAAGGGAGAUGGGUAUGAGACCCACAUGAGUUGCCAUGGUAGUAACCCAACCUAUGUGAUCGGAGAUCCCGUGAAGUAGGACCUGGGAAAACAAGCCAGUGGUGAAUUGAGGAGAGUAACUUUACUUACCCACUCCGUUGGAGAUGCAAUACUCUCGAAAACUGUAUGGAAGGAUGACUACUGUCUUAAUGUGUUCCAAGGCUUAUAUGCAUAAGCAAGAUGCUAUCCUACAGAGCGAUCUUUGGAGGAACACACCUAUAUGAGCCCGACUGCUGGUCACAGUCUAUGAGAUUGGGGUGAUCUCUAGCAAGCUCAUGAACAGGCCAGGAGUGUGACUAAUAUGCUCCACCCGAGGGGUCAGCCUUCGGCAGCCUCGUAUCAGUGAGACUUGUGGUGAAACUUCUUGACGCCAAACUGACAAUUCAAGGCAUAGUCCAUUGUUCAGUUGUGAAGGAGUGUAACUACUUGGUCUAGGUGGAGCUCAACCUUAAUCGGUCUCCACUGAGAUACUGGUAUAUCAAAAUAGCCUUUGGAACAAAGGACAAACUGGCCCCCUGAGAUCUGGUGGGGGAUUGUUGAAAUAUGAGAUGGGCCUAGAGCCCAUAUGACAAUUUCAGAUUUGAUCUCUAAGGGCCCAUGUAGGUGGCAUGACAAGGUGGUGGGAAGUUUAGUCCCACCCCGGAAGUGGAAGGAGAGUUGGAGUGGUUUAUAAGGGAUUCUCUUCCUCAUGCUAUUGGAGCUUGAGAAGAGAUGAGGCCCUCGCGCACUCCUCCUCCUCCGCUCGCCUCGCCACGCCACGCCUCGCCACGACGCGCUGCGGGUUGCGGGAUUGAGCCGAGCCGAGCUCACUCCUAUGCGCUUCUUUUUGCUGGUCAGGAAUGGAGAGUCUUUGACAGGUGGGGCCACGAUCUGAGACGUCGGAUUGUGGGCUACCGACUUGGACGUGGGUUCAUCCCACGUCUCUCCACGCGCAGCCGCACAUAUAUAUGUGGGGCGCUGCCAACCCUAGCCGCCAUAGAAACAGAACGCAUCUCCGCCUCCACGCCCGCGUCGUUCCUCUGCUGCUGCUGCCGCCGGCGACUCCGUCCCGUUCACCACGUACACGGUUGACAGGAGAGCAGGCCUCCGAAACCCCGCCUCUCCGGAUCCUGUAUGGGAGAGGGGCGAUUAGGUUUUUGGGUAGCGACUACGCGACUGCUCGCUUCUGUUCAUCUACGUCCACAUCACCUUCGUCAUCACCAUGUCGACCGACACCGACCGUGCCGCCGCUGAGAAGGCCGAGGCCGACAAGAAGGCCACCGAGGAUGCCGCGGCUACCGCCUCCGCCACCGCCGCCGCAUGGCCGAUUGGAGGGUAUACAUCGUUUAUCCCUCUUAUGUUUCUUUCUAUUGUAGUUGUACUAGCGAUAUGCGUAGAUGUUUCUACUAUAUGCGUAGUACAUGCUCUGUUAGAUCGUAACCAAUGUGUUAUCAAUACUGUCAAUGUCAUUCUCAUGAUUUAUUCAUGGAUUAAUUUAAUCGAAAAACUGCCUAUUUUCUUAUCAAUCCAAAAACCUAAUUUGUGUAGGAGUUUUUCGAAUUCUGGUUUUGCUACUGCAUUGAAACCGUCGCCGUUUAUGGGGACGUACUUUAAGCGUUGGCAGACUAAAACCACCUUAUGGCUCACUGCCAUGAACGUGUUCUGGGUCGCCGGUGUGACUCCCACAGGAACGAUCGCUCCUGAUCAGGAGAAGGUGUUCAAGGAGGCCACUGUCGUGUUCCUCGGGGCAGUUCUGAGCGUGAUUGGAGAUAAGCUGGUUGACGCAUAUUUGCAUGUGCGGUCUGCCAAGGACUUGUGGGAGGCGCUCGAAUCUAAGUUCGGGGCUGCCGAUUCAGAGAGCGAGAUGUAUAUUAUAGAGCAGUUCCAUGAUUACAAGAUGGUUGAAAACCGUAGUGUAUUGGAGUAGGCUCAUGAGAUAAUAUGCAUUGUUAAGGAGCUUGAGCUUCUUAAGUGCGAGUUACCAGGCAAGUUUGUCGCGGGCUGCAUAAUCGCUAAGCUUCCCAAUUCCUGGAGGAACUUUGCCACUACUCUGAAACAUCAGAGGCGUGAAUUCUCUGUGGAGGAUGUCAUUGGCCAUCUGAGUGUUGAGAAGAAUUGAAGGGCAAAGGACUCGCACGGAAAAGGGGUCGAAGGAACUUCUGUGGCCAACAUGGUGCAUCAGAAGAACUCCAAUUCCCACAAGCCCAAGGGAAAGAACGGUGUCCAACAGAGUGCCGACUUUAAGAAGAAGGGUAAGAAGACCUUCAAGAAGAACAAGAAGGAUGAGGGCUGCUUUACUUGUGGUUCGCUUGAACAUUGGGCCAACAAGUGCCCAAACAAGUAUAAGAAGCAAGGACAGGACUCCAAGUCUGUCAAUACGAUUGUGAGCAACAAUGAGGGUGGUGUAUCUGGUACGGUAAUUUAUUUGCUGUAUUUUCAGUUUGGCCGUCCACCGAUUGGUGGGUCGACACAGGUGCAGGUGUUCAUGUGUGUGCUGACAUUUCAUUGUUUUCUUCUUACCAGGCCACAGGUCACGGGUCCGUACUGUAAGUGCAUCUAGUGCCACCCCUAGUUGGUUUUGGAGUAUUGACGACAAACCUAGUUGAGGGACUAAUGUGUUUGUGAGAAUUGCAGGAUAACACAGGUAGAAGUCCCUCAUUGAUUCGGUUUUCCUACCAGAGAUGACCCCUAAAAAUGUUCGAAGACAUCGAUGUCAAAGGUGGUAUAUGAAGAUAUUCACAUUGAAGACUAUGACAAGAGAAGACAUCGCAUGAAGCCUAUGGAGCUCGAAGACUUAGAUCUUUCGUAGUUCUUUUUCUUCUUCUUUGUUGAGUCAUAGGAACCACCGUACUAUUAAGUGGGGUCCAAGAGAACCAGUCAGAAUGACUGAAGUGAUGCUUAACCAAAACCUAUGUCUUCGAGUGAAGACUAUGAGAGCAAAUCUUGUCCAGAGUCGGACAAGUCAGCUUUGCUUGUAGCCCAAGUAAAGUUGCCGUGUGAGUUUAAAAUCUGACCGUUGGAACAUGUGUCAGUUCCUUAGUGACCAAGGGUCAUUUUGGACAAAUCAGGUCGGGUUGCCUAGUGGCUAUAAAUAGCCCACCCCUACAACCAUAAACGGUUGGCUGCUCGGAGUUAGUGUACGGCUUUUGUCGUUUGAGAGCAACCCACCUCGAAGCCCUUGAGAGAGAAUUCCUUGCGAGGAUAAAGCCCUAACCACCCAGAGCCAAAGAGAAUUAGGCAUCACUUAAGUCUUCUUGUCUGUGUGAUCUAAAGACUUAUUACACUUGAGGACUGUGAAUCCUCCAGCCGGUUAGGCGUCGCGUUCUGAGCAUCCAAGAGACAUUGUGGAUUGCCGGUGAACGAAGUCUGUGAAGGUUUGGGAGUCUACCUUGAAGACUUACCAGAGUGAUUGGGCGAGGUCUGUGUGACCUUAGCUCAAGGGGAAUACGGUGAGGACUGGGUGUCCUGAGCUACGUGUUCAGGACUGGGUGUCCAGGACUGUGUGUCCUCAGGUUUAAAUACCUAGCCGCCCUAACCAGACGUACAGUUGUCACAGCAACUGGAACUGGUCCAACACAUCAUUGUCUUCAACGAGUCACUGGUUUCAUCCCUCCCUUCUCUUUACGUACUAUUACUCCUUGUGAAGUCAUUGUAUGAUUGCACUAUCUUUUUAUCUUCACUGAGUGACUGCGUGUUCUGUUUGGCUUCAUAAUAUCUUCCUACCUGAUCCUUACUACAUUGCUGCUAUUAGUCAUUGAGAUUUCACUCUAUUGAAUACUUGACUAUGGCUUGCCUAGUGUAGUUUACCUUCCGCUGCAGGGUAACAGGUUUAUUUCUAUCGUUUGUCUUCAUAACUUUCACGUUUUGAAGACUUUCAUAAAAAUCGCCUAUUCACCCCCCCUCUAGUCGAUAUAACGCACUUUUAAUUGGUAUCAGAGCCAGGUACUCCCUUGUUCUGUGUGAUUCGGUUUAACCACCUGGAGUUUUAGCUAUGUCGACUGCAGGGAUAACCAAAGUCUCCGCUGCGUGCCCCGUCUUCGAUGGAACUGAAUAUCCCUACUGGAAGAAUAAGAUGCGCAUGCAUCUUGAAGCCAUUGACGUCGACCUAUGGUAUGUCGUCAAGAACGGUGUUCCCAAGACUGGAGAAGGUGUCACUGCUGCUGACGUCAAGAAGUUCGUUCAACUGGACUCUACUGCCAAGAAUAUCAUCUGUGGUCAUCUGACCAAAGGACAGUAUGGCCGCGUGAGUGCUUUGGAAACAUCUAAGCUAGUCUGGGACUGGCUCUCCAAGGUCAACGAAGGCGUCUCAACCCAGAGAGAUCAGAGAAUCAGUGUCCUUCGCAACCUCUUCAACCACUUCAAGAGAAAUGACAAUGAGAAUGUCCAUCUCACAUUUGAUCGACUCACUGACAUCACGAAUGAGCUUCAAGCCCUUGGCGCUACUGAGAUCACCAAGCAUGAAGUCGUCAAGACACUACUGAGAUCACUUGACAGUUCGUUUGACACCCUAGCCCUGAUGAUUCAAGAACGUCCUGAUUUCAAGACACUCGAUCCGUCUGACAUACUUGAGAGGCUCAACACACAUGAGUUUCAGCUUUCUGAGAAAAGAGAUAUCUACGGUCCAAACUAUGGGCGAACUCGUGCCUUGAAGGCAAAAGUUGUCUCCUCAUCUAAAGAAGAAUCUGACAGCAGUUCUGAUGAUCCUGAAGACAUUGGAAGGGAACUUGCUAUGCUUGUGAAGAAGUUCCAAAAAUUCACCAAGAAGAAAGGCUUCAGAAAGUCUUCCCGAUCAAGCUCAAGGAAUGAUGAAGCUUCUGCUCAUGACUACAAGAAGAAAACAUGUCACAAGUGCAAGAAACCUGGCCACUUCAUCUCUGAGUGUCCGCAGUGGGACAAUGAGAACAAAAAGAAGAAGAAGAGCAAGGAAUAUGACUCUGACGACAAGAAGAAGAAGAAAUACUCAAAGUCUUCUUCCAAGUCUUCUUCAAAGUCUUCAUCACACAAGAAGAGCUCAUCUGGCAAGGCACGUGCAUUUGUUGGCAAGGAAAUGGAUUCAGAGGAGGAGUCCGCUUUUGAGGAGGCGGAGGUGGAGUCUGAGGAGGAGUCCGAUUCUGGCGUCGCAAGUCUGGCUACAACAUACAUUGCCAAGUCCAUCUUGAACACUGAAGACAAUGACCUCAUCACCGACACCGAUGCAAAUGCCAAGGACUACUCCGCUCCUACCUACUGCUUCAUGGCACGUGGUGCCAAGGUAAACACACGCACUACUCACUAUCAAACAUCUAGUGACGAUGACUCUGAUUGUGGUUCAAAACCCAGCUACAAAACACUUGCGAAAAUUGCAACUGAACAAUAGAAAGCCAUGGAACAUAUUCAAAAACUGUUAGACAAAAGCGAUGAUCUGUUAGGCGCUGAAAUGACUCGAUCUGAGUCCUUAGUUGAAGACAUAAAAAAUCUUCACGUUAAGUAUGAGGAACUUGAGAGUCGUCAUGAAACGCUCUCAACAACUCAUGAAAAUCUUUCCUAUGAUUAUCUUCAAAGGAAGCAAGAUCUUGAGAAAUUGAGAGCGGCUCAUGAAGAUCUUCAAAAGGAAAAUGAGUCACUUCACGCCAAACAGAUCAGUUCCACUCAGGAAGGAUUUGAACCACCAUGUCUUAAAUGCAUUGAGCGUGAUAAUGCUACUACUGUUGCUAAAUGUUCUACUGCUGCUACUGUUGCAAUAUCUUCAACUGUUGAUGUGGGAACUAACCCCUCUGCUGAGGAUUCCACUGCUAUUGCUGAUGAGAAUGCUAGGUUGAAGACAUUGCUUGAAAUAGGGAUGUACAAAAGUCUUAAAGGGUAUCAGACACUAUGUGAUGUCCUCAAAAAGCAGAUCUUGAACCGAAACCCGAGGAAAGAGGGUGUUGGGUUCGUAAGGAAAAUGAAUGCUGAUGGCUCUUACUGGAAACCCGAGCAGUACCCCAAAACCACAUGGGUUGCUGCAAAGGAAUCUUCAGCAGAUCUAUCCAAUCUAUCUGGCUUAUCUUGUGCAAAUCCCAUUGUCAUUGAUGAAUCCUUUGAUGCAAACUAUAAACUGUUUAAGAAUCAGAAUGGUGAAGUGUUUGCCAGGUACAUUGGUACUAACUGCAGGAAUGGACCGCCUAUAAAGAAGAUCUGGGUUCCAAAAAAGUGUCUGGAGAAUCUUCCUGUGAAUGUCAUCAUGACACCACACGUGAAGAAGACAAAGCUCAGACCACAGGCUUCAUACGGUCCAAAGGCUUCAUACAGACAGAGGACUCACCUGAGUCGCACUAACGCAAAUGUUUUGCAGGGAAACCAUACUCAGGCCUAUGAAUAUGAGCGCGGUUAAUCAAACCGCCAUGUUCAUAAGACCAAGAACUAUUCUGCUUAUUCUUAUGAGUACUAUUGUCCGCCUGCAAGACUUUUUGCUAGGGCUCCAAAGCCAAAGUUCUCAGAUGCUGCACUUAGACUUAUUGCUUCUAAGCCACCCUUGAAGAUGUGGGUGGCUAAGAAAGCUUAACUCUCUUUUGCAGGGAAAGGUCUCCAGUAGAAAACCAAAAUUGUCUGACGCUAUUGCUGGGGACCUUAAACAUCUUGUAGGGCGCAAGAUCAAAUGCCCGAAUGGUCUUACUAUGUACUUCGUUCCUGAAUCGCUUGCUACUCUCCCUAUCAGUCCUAAUCUGGAUCUAAGCUUUCAUAACCCACUGGUUCGUCAAAUGUUUUUGCUUCACAAUUCUCUUCGUGAAGCCUAUCCCCCUAACUGCACUGUAGGGUACGACACCAGCGUCUUCAGAAUGGAUUAUUGAUAGUGGGUGUACCAACCACAUGACUGGCAAAAGAAGCCUUCUUAUGGACUCAACAUUACGUCCAUCCGACAAGAGUCACAUCACAUUUGCUGACACUGGUAAAAGUAAGGUAUUGGGUCUAGGUAGAGUUGCAAUCUCAAUGGAUCAACACAUGGAUAAAGUCAUGCUUGUUGAAUGCCUUGGCUUCAACUUAAUGUCUGUCUCAAUGCUUUGCGAUUUGAACAUGAUCGUAAUAUUUGGAAAAUAUCUAUGCCUUGUACUAAUGGAAUCUGACAAGUCUCUAGUGUUUGAAGGGUAUCGGAAAGAUGAUUUGUACGUGGUAGAUUUUUCGGCAGGACCACAGCUUGCCGUAUGUCUUCUAGCAAAGGCUUCAGAAUGCUGGCUCUGGCAUCGGAGGCUAGGGCAUGCUGGCAUGAGAAACCUCCACACCCUUGCAAAGAAGAAGCAUGUCAUAGGCAUCGAGGGCGUCAAGUUCAAGAAAGAUCACUUAUGCGGUGCCUGUGAAGCAGGGAAGAUGACGAGGGCCAAACAUCCCUCGAAGACAAUCAUGACAACCACUCGACCCUUCGAACUGCUCCACAUGGAUCUUUUCGGUCCCACUCAUUACUCAACUCUUACUACUACUACUUGCCUCUAUGGCUUUGUUAUUGUUGAUGAUUAUUCUAGACAUACUUGGAUUCACAUAAUCCUCUACAAGACUGAAGUGCAAGAUGUCUUCAGACACUUCGCCAAUCGAGCAAUGAACAACUAUGGCGCCAAGAUAAAGCACAUCAGAAGUGACAAUGGCACUGAAUUGAAGAAUACUGGCCUUGAUACAUAUCUUGAUACCUUAGGCAUCACACAUGAAUUCUCAGCCCCAUACACGCCACAUCAGAAUGGCGUCGUCGAACGCAAGAACAGAACACUCAUUGGGAUGGCCCGAAUGAUGCUUGAUGAAUACAAGACUCCAAGAAAAUUCUGGCCUGAAGCCAUUGAUACUGCAUGCCAUACAAUCAAUCGUGUUUAUCUUCACAAGCUUCUGAACAAGACAUCUUAUGAGCUCCUUACUGGCAAGAAGCCAAAUGUCAGUUACUUCAGAGUAUUUGGUGCCAGGUGCUGGAUCAAGGAUCCACAUCACACUUCAAAAUUUGCACCAAAAGCACAUGAGGGUUUUAUGCUUGGAUAUGGAAAGGAUUCGCACUCCUACAGAGUCUUCAAUCUCUUUCAUUAUAAAGUGGUUGAAAUAGUGGAUGUGCAGUUUGAUGAGACUAACGGUUCACAAAGAGAGCACCUCACAAAUAUGCUAGAUGAAGUUCCAUCCAGCGAAUUAAUCAAGCUUAUGGGAACCGGAGAAAUCAUACCCUCUGAAGCUCAACCUGAAGAGGAACUUAUCAUCUCCGCACCUGAUCAACCUGAAGACAAUGCUCAGCCUCAAGACAAUCCCACUAACAAUGACAAUGAUGAGCAAGAGCAAAACCUUCGCCCUAUACAUCCUCGUGUUGCCAAUGAAGUGCAGAUUGAGAGAAUAAUUGACAACAUCAAUGCACCCGGUCCGCUCACUCGAUCAAGGGCAACUCAGCUGGCAAAUUUUUGUGGGCACUUCGCAUUCGUCUCAAUAACAGAACCCAAGAAAGUUGAAGAAGCCAUCAUGUAACCUGAAUGGAUUCAAGCUAUGCAAGAAGAGCUUCAACAAUUUGAGCUGAAUAAUGUAUGGGAACUGGUUAAGCAUCCUGAUCCUUGGAAGCACAACAUAAUAGGAACCAAAUGGAUAUACCACAACAAGCAAGAUGAGCAUGGUCAAGUUGUCAGAAACAAAGCUCGUCUCGUUGCUCAAGGAUAUACUCAAGUGGAAGGCAUUGACUUCGAUGAAACAUUUGCUCCUGUGGCUAGACUUGAAGCCAUACGCAUACUGCUGGCCUAUGCCAAUCAUCACAACAUACUUCUAUAUCAAAUGGAUGUGAAGAGUGCCUUUCUCAAUGGCAAGAUUGAAGAAGAAGUGUAUGUUGCACAACCGCCUGGCUUCGAAGAUCCAAAACAUCUUGACAUGGUAUACAAGCUCAACAAGGCACUGUAUGGCCUCAAACAAGCCCCUCAGGCCUGGUAUGACACACUCAAAUACUUCCUGAAGAGAAAAGGCUUCAUACCUGGUUCCCUAGACCCCACUCUCUGUUGGGGAACGUUGCAGAAAUCAAAAAUUUUCCUACGGUUUCACCAAGAUCCAUCUAUGAGUUCAUCUAGCAACGAGUGAUCGGAUGCAUCUACAUACCUUUGUAGAUCGUGAGCGGAAGCGUUCAAAGAACGGGGAUGAGGGAGUUGUACUCGACGUGAUCCAAAUCACCGGAGAUCCUAGCACCGAACGAACGGCACCUCCGCGUUCAACACACGUACGGUCAGCGUAACGUCUCCUCCUUCUUGAUCCAGCAAGGGGGAAGGAUAGGUUGAGGAAGAUAGCUCCAGCAGCAGCACGACGGCGUGGUGGUGAUGGAGCUGCAGUACUUCGGCAGGGCUUCGCCAAGCUCUAUGGAGGAGGAGGAGGUGUUGGAGAGAGAGAGGGAGGCACCAAAGGCAAAAAGGUAAGAGACCCUCCCUCCCCCCCANNNNNNNNNNNNNNNNNNNNNNNNNNNNNNNNNNNNNNNNNNNNNNNNNNNNNNNNNNNNNNNNNNNNNNNNNNNNNNNNNNNNNNNNNNNNNNNNNNNNNNNNNNNNNNNNNNNNNNNNNNNNNNNNNNNNNNNNNNNNNNNNNNNNNNNNNNNNNNNNNNNNNNNNNNNNNNNNNNNNNNNNNNNNNNNNNNNNNNNNNNNNNNNNNNNNNNNNNNNNNNNNNNNNNNNNNNNNNNNNNNNNNNNNCCUAGGAGAUGCAAUCUCCUAGGGGGGCGGCGGCCAAGGGGUGGGGGGCUUGCCCCCCAAGCAAGGGGGCGCCCCCUUUUAGGGUUUCCCCCACCCUAGGAGCAUGGGCCCUAGGGGGAAGUGGAGCCCCAGCCCACUUUGGGAUGGAUCCCUUCCCACUUCAGCCCAUGGGGCCCUCCGGGAUAGGUGGCCCCACCCGGUGGACCCCCAGGACCCUUCCGGUGGUCCCGGUACAAUACCGGUGACCCCGAAACUUGUCCCGAUGGCCGAAAUAGCACUUCCUAUAUAUAAUUCUUUACCUCCGGACCAUUCCGAAACUCCUCGUGACGUCCGGGAUCUCAUCCGGGACUCCGAACAACAUUCGGGUUACUGCAUAUACAUAUCCCUACAACCCUAGCGUCACUGAACCUUAAGUGUGUAGAUCCUAUGGGUUCAGGAGACAUGUAGACAUGACUGAGAUUGCUCUCCGGUCAAUAACCAACAGCGGGAUCUGGAUACCCAUGUUGGCUCCCACAUGCUCCUCGAUGAUCUCAUCGGAUGAACCACGAUGUCGAGGAUUCAAGCAACCCCGUAUACAAUUCCCUUUGUCAAUCGGUAUGUUACUUGCCCGAGAUUCGAUCGUCGGUAUCCCAAUACCUCGUCUCGUUACCGGCAAGCCACUUUACUCGUACCAUAAUGCAUGAUCCCGUGACCAGACACUUGGUCACUUUGAGCUCAUAAUGAUGAUGCAUUACCGAGUGGGCCCAGUGAUACCUCUCCGUCAUACGGAGUGACAAAUCCCAGUCUUGAUCCGUGUCAACCCAAUAGACACUUUCAGAGAUACCCGUAGUAUACCUUUAUAGUCACCCAAUUACGUUGUGACGUUUGGUACACCCGAAGCACUCCUACGGCAUCCAGGAGUUACACGAUCUCAUGGUCUAAGGAAAGGAUACUUGACAUUGGAAAUAACUCUAGCAAACGAACUAUACGAUCUUAUGCUAUGUUUAGGAUUGGGUCUUGUCCAUCACAUCAUUCUCCUAAUGAUGUGAUCUCGUUAUCAAUGACAUCCAAUGUCCAUAGUCAGGAAACCAUGACUAUCUGUUGAUCAACGAGCUAGUCAACUAGAGGCUCACUAGGGACAUGUUGGUGUCUAUUAUUCACACAUGUAUUACGGUUUCCGGAUAACACAAUUAUAGCAUGAAUAAAGACAAUUAUCAUGAACAAGGAAAUAUAAUAAUAAUGCUUUUAUUAUUGCCUCUAGGGCAUAUUUCCAACAGUCUCCCACUUGCACUAGAGUCAAUAAUCUAGUUACAAUGUGAUGAAUCGAACACCCAUGGAAUUCUGGUGUUGAUCAUGUUUUUCUCUAGGGAGAGGUUUAGUCAAUGGAUCUGCUACAUUAAGGUUCGUAUGUACUUUACAAAUAUCUAUGUCUCCAUCUUGAACAUUUUCACGAAUGGAGUUGAAGCGACGCUUGAUGUGCCUUGUCUUCUUGUGAAACCUGGGCUCCUUGGCAAGUGCAAUAGCUCCAGUGUUGUCACAGAAGAGUUUGAUUGGCCCCGACGCAUUGGGUAUGACUCCUAGGUCGGUGAUGAACUCCUUCACCCAAAUUGCUUCAUGUGCUGCCUCCGAGGCUGCCAUGUACUCCGCUUCACAUGUAGAUCCCGCCACGACGCUCUGCUUGCAACUGCACCAGCUUACUGCCCCACCAUUCAAAAUAUACACGUAUCCGGUUUGUGACUUUGAGUCAUCCAGAUCUGUGUCGAAGCUAGCGUUGACGUAACCCUUUACGAAGAGCUCUUCGUCACCUCCAUAAACGAGAAACAUUUCCUUAGUCCUUUUCAGGUACUUCAGGAUAUUCUUGACCGCUGCCCAGUGUUCCUUGCCGGGAUUACUUUGGUACCUUCCUACCAAACUUACGGCAAGGUUUACAUCAGGUCUGGUACAUAGCAUGGCAUACAUAAUAGAACCUAUGGCUGAGGCAUAGGGGAUGACACUCAUCUCUUCUAUAUCUUCUGCCGUGGUCGGACAUUGAGCUGAGCUCAAUUUCACACCUUGUAACACAGGUAAGAACCCCUUCUUAGACUGAUCCAUAUUGAACUUUCUUCAAUAUCUUAUCAAGGUAUGUGCUUUGUGAAAGACCUAUGAGGAGUCUCGAUCUAUCUCUAUAGAUCUUGAUGCCUAAUAUAUAAGCAGCUUCUCCAAGGUCCUUCAUUGAAAAACUCUUAUUCAAGUAGGCCUUAAUGCUGUCCAAGAGUUCUAUAUCAUUUCCCAUCAAAAGUAUGUCAUCUACAUAUAAUAUGAGAAAUGCUACAGAGCUCCCACUCACUUUCUUGUAAACGCAGGCUUCUCCAUAAGUCUGCGUAAACCCAAACGCUUUGAUCAUCUCAUCAAAGCGAAUGUUCCAACUCCGAGAUGCUUGCACCAGCCCAUAAAUCGAGCGUUGGAGCUUGCACACCUUGUCAGCAUUCUUAGGAUCGACAAAACCUUCUGGUUGCAUCAUAUACAAUUCUUCCUUAAGGAAACCAUUAAGGAAUGCCGUUUUGACGUCCAUUUGCCAUAUCUCAUAAUCAUAGAAUGCGGCAAUUGCUAACAUGAUUCAGACGGACUUUAGCUUCGCUACCGGUGAGAAAGUCUCAUCAUAGUCAAUCCCUUGAACUUGUCGAUAACCCUUAGCGACAAGCCGAGCUUUAUAGAUUGUCACAUUACCAUCCGCGUCUGUCUUCUUCUUAAAGAUCCAUUUAUUUUCUAUGGCUCGCCGUUCAAUAGGCAAGUCAGUCAAAGUCCAUACUUCGUUUUCAUACAUGGAUCCUAUCUCGGAUUUCAUGGCUUCUAGCCAUUUGUUGGAAUCCGAGCCCGCCAUUGCUUCUUCAUAGUUCGAAGGCUCACUGUUGUCUAACAACAUGAUUUCCAAGACAGGGUUGCCGUACCAUUCUGGUGCGGAACGUGUCCUUGUGGACCUUCGAAUUUCAGUAGGAGCUUGAUCAGAAGUAUCUUGAUCAUCAUCAUUAACUUCCUCUCUAGUCGGUGCAGGCACCUCAGGAACAUUUUCUUGAGUUGUGCCAUUUUCUGGUUCAAGAGGUAAUACUUCAUCAAGUUCUACUUUCCUCCCACUUAUUUCUUUCGAGAGAAACUCCUUCUCUAGAAAGGAUCCAUUCUUGGCAACAAAGGUCUUGCCUUCGGAUCUGAGGUAUAAGGUAUACCCAAUAGUUUCUUUAGGAUAUCCUAUGAAGACACAUUUUUCCGACUUGGGUUCGAGCUUUUCAGGUUGAAGUUUCUUGACAUAAGCAUCGCAUCCCCAAACUUUUAGAAACGACAGCUUAGGUUUCUUCCCAAACCAUAAUUCAUACGGUGUCGUCUCAAUGGAUUACGAUGGAGCCCUAUUUAAAGUGAAUGCGGCAGUCUCUAAAGCAUAGCCCCAGAAAGAUAGCGGUAAAUCGGUAAGAGACAUCAUAGAUCGCACCAUAUCUAAUAGAGUGCGAUUACGACGUUCGGACACACCAUUACGCUGAGGUGUUCCAGGCGGCGUGAGUUGUGAAACUAUUCCACAUUUUCUUAAGUGUGUGCCAAAUUCGUGACUCAAGUAUUCUCCUCCACGAUCUGAUCGCAAAAACUUGAUUUUUCUGUCACGUUGAUUCUCAACCUCACUCUGAAAUUCCUUGAACUUUUCAAAGGUUUAAGACUUGUGUUUCAUUAAGUAGACAUACCCAUAUCUACUCAAGUCAUCAGUGAGGGUGAGAACAUAACGAUAGCCACCGCGAGCCUCAACGCUCAUUGGACCGCACACAUCAGUAUGUAUGAUUUCCAAUAAGUUGGUUGCUCGCUCCAUUGUUCCUGAGAACGGAGUCUUGGUCAUUUUACCCAUGAGGCAUGGUUUGCACGUGUCAAAUGAUUCAUAAUCAAGAGACUCUAAAAGUCCAUCUGCAUGGAGCUUCUUCAUGCGUUUGACACCUAUGUGACCAAGGCGGCAGUGCCACAAGUAUGUGGGACUAUCAUUAUCAACCUUACAUCUUUUGGUAUUCAGACUAUGAACAUGUGUAGCAUUACGCUCGAGAUUCAUUAAGAAUAAACCAUUCACCAUCGGAGCAUGACCAUAAAACAUAUCUCUCAUAUAAAUAGAACAACCAUUAUUCUCGGAUUUAAAUGAGUAGCCAUCUCGAAUUAAACGAGAUCCCGAUACAAUGUUCAUGCUCAAAGCUGGCACUAAAUAACAAUUAUUAAGGUUUAAAACUAAUCCCGAAGGUAAAUGUAGAGGUAGCGUGCCGACGGCGAUCACAUUGACCUUGGAACCAUUCCCGACGCGCAUCGUCACCUCGUCCUUUGCCAGUCUCCGCUUAUUCCACAGCUCCUGCUUUGAGUUACAAAUGUGAGCAACUGCACCGGUAUCAAAUACCCAGGAGCUACUACGAGUACUGGUAAGGUACACAUCAAUUACAUGUAUAUCACAUAUACCUUUUGUUUUGCUGGCCUUCUUGUCCGCUAAGUAUUUGGGGCAGUUCCGCUUCCAGUGACCACUUCCCUUGCAAUAAAAGCACUCAGCCUCGGGCUUGGGUCCAUUCUUUGGCUUCUUCCCGGCAGCUUGCUUGCCGGGCGCGGCAACUCCCUUGCCGUCCUUCUUGAAGUUCUUUUUACCCUUGCCCUUCUUGAACUUAGUGGUUUUAUUCACCAUCAACACUUGAUGUUCCUUCUUGACUUCUACCUCUGCUGAUUUCAGCAUUGAAAAUAACUCAGGAAUGGUCUUUUCCAUCCCCUACAUAUUGAAGUUCAUCACAAAGCUCUUGUAGCUUGGUGGAAGCGACUGGAGGAUUCUGUCAAUGACCGCAUCAUCCGGGAGAUUAACUCCCAGCUGAGUGAAGCGGUUAUGUAACCCAGACAUAGUGAGUAUGUGCUCACUGACAGAACUAUUUCCCUCCAUCUUACAGCUGAAGAAUUUGUCGGAGACUUCAUAUCUCUCGACCCGGGCAUGAGCUUGAAAAACCAUUUUCAGCUCUUCGAACAUCUCAUAUGCUCCAUGUCUCUCAAAACGCUUUUGGAGCCCUGGCUCUAAGCUGUAAAGCAUGCCGCACUGAACGAGGGAGUAGUCAUCAGCACGUGUCUGCCAAGCGUUCAUAAUGUCUUGGUUCUGUGGGACGGGUGCGUCACCUAGCGGUGCUUGUAGGACAUAUUCUUUCUUGGCAGCUAUAAGGAUGAUCCUUAGGUUCCGGACCCAGUCCGUAUAGUUGCUGCCAUCGUCUUUCAGCUUGGUUUUCUCUAGGAAUGCGUUGAAGUUGAGGACUACGUUGGCCAUUUGAUCUACAAGACAUAUUGUAAAUACUUUAGACUAAGUUCAUGAUAAUUAAGUUCAUCUAAUCAAAUUAUUCAAUGAACUCCCACUUAGAUAGACAUCCCUCUAGUUAUCUAAGUAUAACAUGAUCCGAGUUAACUAGGCCGUGUCCGAUCAUCACGUGAGACGGACUAGUCAACAUCGGUGAACAUCUUCAUGUUGAUCGUAUCUUCUAUACGACUCAUGCUCGACCUUUCGGUCUUCUGUGUUCCGAGGCCAUGUCUGUACAUGCUAGGCUCGUCAAGUCAACCUAAGUGUUUGCAUGUGUAAAUCUGUCUUACACCCAUUGUAUGUGAACGUUUGAAUCUAACACCCGAUCAUCACGUGGUGCUUCGAAACAACAAACUGUCGCAACGGUGCACAGUUAGGGGGAACACUUUCUUGAAAUUAUUAUGAGGGAUCAUCUUAUUUACUACCGUCGUUCUAAGUAAACAAGAUGUACAAAACAUGAUAAACAUCACAUGCAAUCAAAUAAUAAUAGUGACAUGAUAUGGCCAAUAUCACAUAGCUCCUUUGAUCUCCAUCUUGGGGCUCCAUGAUCAUCCUGUCACCGGCAUGACACCAUGAUCUCCAUCAUCGUGUCUCCAUGAAUUUGCUUGCCAAAUAUUACUUCUACUACUAUGGCUAACACGUUUAGCAAUAAAGUAAAGUAAUUUACAUGGCGUUUCUCAAUGACACGCAUGUCAUACAAAAAUAAAGACAACUCCUAUGGCUCCUACCGGUUGUCAUACUCAUCGACAUGCAAGUCGUGAUUCCUAUUACAAGAACAUGAUAUCAUACAUCACAUAUAUAUAUAUAUCAUUCAUCAUUCAUCACAACUUUGGCCAUAUCACAUCACAGAACACUUGCUGCAAAAACAAGUUAGACGUCCUCUAAUUGUUGUUGCAAGUUUUACGUGGCUGCAAUAGGGUUCUAGCAAGAAUAUUUUCUUACCUACGUGAAAGCCACAACGUGAUUUGUCAACUUAUAUUUACCCUUCAUAAGGACCCUUUUCAUCGAAUCCGCUCCAACUAAAGUGGGAGAGACAGACACCCGCCAGCCACCUUAUGCAACUAGUGCAUGUUAGUCGGUGGAACCGGUCUCACAUAAGCGUACGUGUAAGGUUGGUCCGGGCCGCUUCAUCCCACAAUACCGUUGAAGCAAGAUAAGACUAGUAGCGGCAAGAAAGUUGACAACAUCUACGCCCACAACAAAUUGUGUUCUACUCGCGCAAGAAGAACUACGCAUAGACCUAGCUCAUGAUGCCACUGUUGGGGAACGUUGUAGAAAACAAAAACUUUCCUACAGUUUCACCAAGAUCCAUCUAUGAGUUCAUCUAGCAACGAGUGAUCGGAUGCAUCUACAUACCUUUGUAGAUCGCGAGCGGAAGCGUUCAAAGAACGGGGAUGAGGGAGUUGUACUCGAUGUGAUCCAAAUCACCGGAGAUCCUAGCACCGAACGGACGGCACCUCCGCGUUCAACACACGUACGGUCAGCGUAACGUCUCCUCCUUCUUGAUCCAUCAAGGGGGAAGGAGAGGUUGAGGAAGAUGGCUCCAGCAGCAGCACGAUGGCGUGGUGGUGAUGGAGCUGCAGUACUCCGGCAGGGCUUCACCAAGCUCUAUGGAGGAGGAGGAGGUGUUGGAGAGAGAGAGGGAGGCACCAAAGGCAAAAAGGUAAGAGACCCUCCCUCCCCCCCAUUAUAUAUAGGGGGCCUAGGGGGGGGGGGCGGCGGCCCUAGGAGAUGCAAUCUCCUAGGGGGGCGGCGGCCAAGGUGUGGGGGGCUUGCCCCCCAAGCAAGGGGGUGCCCCCUUUUAGGGUUUCCCCCACCCUAGGCGCAUGGGCCCUAGGGGGAAGUGGCGCCCCAGCCCACUUUGGGCUGGAUCCCUUCCCACUUCAGCCCAUGGGGCCCUCCGGGAUAGGUGGCCCCACCCGGUGGACCCCCGGGACCCUUCCGGUGGUCCCGGUACAAUACCGGUGACCCCGAAACUUGUCCCGAUGGCCGAAAUAGCACUUCCUAUAUAUAAUUCUUUACCUCCGGACCAUUCCGAAACUCCUCGUGACGUCCGGGAUCUCAUCCAGGACUCUGAACAACAUUCGGGUUACUGCAUAUACAUAUCCCUACAACCCUAGCGUCACCGAACCUUAAAUGUGUAGACCCUAUGGGUUCGGGAGACAUGUAGACAUGACCGAGAUUGCUCUCCGGUCAAUAACCAACAGCGGGAUCUGGAUACCCAUGUUGGCUCCCACAUGCUCCUCGAUGAUCUCAUCGGAUGAACCACGAUGUCGAGGAUUCAAGCAACCCCGUAUACAAUUCCCUUUGUCAAUCGGUAUGUUACUUGCCCGAGAUUCGAUCGUCGGUAUCCCAAUACCUCGUUCAAUCUCAUUACUGGCAAGCCACUUUACUCGUACCGUAAUGCAUGAUCCCGUGACCAGACACUUGGUCACUUUGAGCUCAUAAUGAUGAUGCAUUACCGAGUGGGCCCAGUGAUACCUCUCCGUCAUACGGAGUGACAAAUCCCAGUCUUGAUCCGUGUCAACCCAACAGACACUUUCAGAGAUACCCGUAGUAUACCUUUAUAGUCACCCAAUUACGUUGUGACGUUUGGUACACCCGAAGCACUCCUACGGCAUCCGGGAGUUACACGAUCUCAUGGUCUAAGGAAAGGAUACUUGACAUUGGAAAUAACUCUAGCAAACGAACUAUACGAUCUUAUGCUAUGUUUAGGAUUGGGUCUUGUCCAUCACAUCAUUCUCCUAAUGAUGUGAUCUCGUUAUCAAUGACAUCCAAUGUCCAUAGUCAGGAAACCAUGACUAUCUGUUGAUCAACGAGCUAGUCAACUAGAGGCUCACUAGGGACAUGUUGGUGUCUAUUAUUCACACGUGUAUUACGGUUUCCGGAUAACACAAUUAUAGCAUGAAUAAAGACAAUUAUCAUGAACAAGGAAAUAUAAUAAUAAUGCUUUUAUUAUUGCCUCUAGGGCAUAUUUCCAACACUCUCUUCAUGAAGACAUAUGAUGGUGAACUAUUUGUGUGCCAAAUAUAUGUGGACGACAUUAUCUUCGGCUGCACCAAUCAGAAGUACAGUGAAGAGUUUGGAUAUAUGAUGCAAGAGCGAUAUCAGAUGUCCAUGAUGGGAGAGCUGAAGUUCUUCCUCGGUCUCCAAAUACGACAGCAACGCAAUGGCAUCUUCAUAUCUCAAGAGAAGUAUCUCAAAGAUUGUCUGAAGAAGUUAGGUAUGCAAGACUGCAAAGGCUUCACGACGCCAAUGCCAGCCAAGCAUCAUCUGGGUCCCGACGACAAUGGUAAAGAGUUCAAUCAAAAGGUAUACCGCUCCAUGAUUGGUUCUUUGCUUUAUCUAUGUGCAUCUAGGCCAGAUAUUAUGCUUAGUGUUUGCAUGUGUGCUCGAUUCCAAGCGACACCAAAGGAGUCGCAUCACUUAGCUGUGAAGCGAAUUCUUUGAUAUUUGGCUCACACCCCAACUAUAGGAUUAUGGUAUCCAAAGGGCUCAGAGUUUGAUCUGAUUGGAUUCUCGGAUGCUGAUUAUGCUGGUGACAAAGUGGAUCGCAAGUCUACAUCAGGCACAUGUCACUUUCUGGGACGAUCACUUGUAUGUUGGUCUUCAAAGAAGCAGAACUGUGUAUCUCUCUCCAGUGCUGAAUCUGAAUACAUUGCUGCUGGAUCUUGCUGCGCUCAGCUUCUGUGGAUGAAGCAAACACUCAAGGACUAUGGCAUUCAUCUAAAUCAAGUGCCACUCUAUUGCGACAACGAAAGCGCCAUCAAGAUUGCCAACAACCCAGUUCAGCACUCGAAGACAAAGCACAUUGAAAUUCGUCAUCACUUUCUUAGAGAUCAUGUUGUGAAGGAAGAUAUUGAUAUCAUACAUGUCAACAUUGAAGAGCAAUUGGCAGAUAUCUUCACCAAGCCCUUGGAUGAGAAGAGAUUUUGCAAGUUACGGUGUGAGCUAAAUAUCCUGGAAUCCUCAAAUGUCCUGUGAUCAGGCACACAUCCUAACACUUAUGCAUAUUGAUGACUUAGAUGUGCAACACACGAAGUAAAAUAUAUCUUCAAUCAAUGAAGACAUACAUUCUAAGUGUGAAUACAUUAAUGUGGAAUUUGACUUCGGAGCGCCACGAUAAUUGUGCGCCGUGUCUGGGUCUAAUACUUCCUAUACGGUGGGUAACGCCACCACCAAAUGCUCUGUUUGAAGUGUUUCACUCAUGGCGUUACAUUUGCUAUGUCUUCACAUUUGGUAUUGGCUUGAAUCUCAACAUAUCUUCAUGAUUAUCUUCACUAUGUUGAUUAUAUAUAUAUAUAUAUAUAUAUAUAUAUAUAUAUAUAUACUAGUGUUCUGUCCUCUACAACAUUCACUUAUAGCUAUGUCUUCUUGUUGAAUCUUUUGAACUAAGUGAAUGUGAUCGGACCCUAACCUCUCUAUGCUUUCUAUCUCAAACUCUAUCUCUCCAAAUCACAUGCAUUCUAUUGAAACUGUCGAAUGUCUUCUCUGCGUCCUUGUCAGCAGAAGAUACAGAGACAACCAUUAAGUCCGUUUUCAAUGCUCAUUCCUCCACCUGAAACCCGGAGAAGUGGGAACGACCACCCGACAAUCCAGGCGUGCGUGGGAUGUGGAACAAACCCCAAUAUGCUGCAUGAUGGCCACGUCUUCCUCAGAUGCGAAUCGCCAGGGGCACCUGUGUAAUAACGCAGUGCCGCCCCUGUACCUAUAAAUACACACCUCACAGCAGUCAUUAUCUCUUCUUCCACUCUCGCACGAACCCUAGCGCCACCGCUAGCCCUCGACGACGCUGGCGACGAAGCGCUUCGCUGCCGCAACCUCUCUGACGCCGUCUUCACGCCGACCGCGGACAUCGUCUUCUCCACCAUCGCCGUAGGUGUCCUCCGUCACCAAGUUAGGGCAUGGACGAUUGAACUGCUCGGCCUCCUCUUCCACUCCAUCUAGCAAUUCUUCGUGUGGUAAAUAAAACCUCCUUUUUACGGCCUCUUUGAUCCUAUAGCUUUAUCACUUUCUACCACAAGCAGUUUCUAUUCACACAAGUUGGAUCUCUUUCAUACUACAUCUCAUAACAUGCCUAGUAUAUUCACUUAUGCUUCACAAAGUAGUUAGAUUCCUCACUUGUACUGAUCCGUGGAUUCGUACAAAUAUGGAACCAACUCCUUAUCUAUGAGUGAAUGUCUUCGCACGAUGAGGUCAAUGUCUUCUAAUCUGAUUUAUCUUCAAAAUCUUCUGAGAAUGCAUAUGACCUCUUCCCCUUCUCUCGCACCUUAAUGCUGUCAUAGGUACAUGUCCGUGGGAGAAUCCCUUUGUUCUCAUAGUCUGCAUUCAUUUGCAGAAUUCUUACAGCAUCACAUAAAUUCUCCCAAAGCCAGUUCCUGUUUGUCCAGCAAGCGAAAACCUUUGAAGCCUCUGAACGUAUUGAAGCCUUUCUGGUUAAGGUUCAUGGCUUCAGAAAAAUCAGCAAGGAAGGGUGGCAGAAAGCGUCGAGGAUAAACAUCAAGAGAUCUGCCCGAUGACCUCUCAGAGUUGUACAAGACAGAUCCUGAAGAGGAUUACAAUCGGCGCAAGACGCGAAUCCAAUGGAUUCGACGCUAUUGGUCAAGUACAGAUUUGUGACCAAGGAAUAUGCUGAAAAGAAUGCCAUCAAGCGACCAUGGGGAGACAUCCUUUACAAAAAUCUUCAACCCAGGACCAGAGAUGAAGCCAUUGAACAAGGCUUCUAUCCCUGCAUGGUCCGUGGACCACAGCCUGCGAAUGCUGACCCAUCGUCCCUGCUAUGGUGUCGUGACGACAAUCUGUUUAAGCGCAACUUCCAGUUUGCCCAGAACUUAGCGAAGAAGAACAAGAAGACUUUGGGUUUAGAUUUCAACCCUGGUCCCUCUGCUCCCCGUGCUGAUGGAACUCGCGAAGCUGAACCCAAUCUUCUUGGGCCCUUCUACAGUCUUGAAGGCCUCAUCACUCACAUCGUGGUUCAAGGGACAACCGUGAAUGAGCCUGCAGAUGACGCUGAAUCAGAUGAAGCGCCUGCAGCGCCGAAGCCAAAGAAGCUGAAGCAGCCAAAAGCUUCAAAGCCGGCCUCUGCACCAAAAAUCUCACAGACGAAGCCACUGGCAACUGCACCUCCUGAAGAUAGUGUGCAGUCUGAAGAUUUGUCACGCAUCUCCAAGCCCUAGAAGGUCAAGAUGCCUCUGCCACACACCGGCCAAGAGCUAACAGCUGCUGCCAUUCUGCGCAAUGAUGCCAUUGAUCUGUCAAGUGAUGAAGAUCUUGCAGAUGACGCUCUUGAGCAACUCAUCAAGAGCAAAGAAGAAGCAGAAAUCUUCAAUGAUCUGCCUCUCUUUGAUGUAACAAUCAUCCACAACUUCAUUGAUGAAUGGUUUGACACGCCAAACAUCAGCUUCGAAGAUCUGCAACUACCCAUUGGCCUCAGUGUCGCCUUCCAUGGCGCCAUUGCUUCAGAGCCAGCCCUCGCUCAACACAUCGUCGAACUGAAGCAAAAGAUUGACUAUGAAAAGACUCAGUUCAAGAAGCAUAUGGCCAAGCUUAGCAUGCAAGAGGUGAAAAACUUCAAGAUUAUGCUGCACGAGCUCAAAGAAGCCUUUCUCAAGAAACGCGCAGAAGCUCAGGGUUCUCGGGAGCGUAUGAAGAACCUGGCUGACAAGUGUGUGCAAGGCUACAACGAAGCUGAGAAGCGCAAGGCCCUUGGGCGUCCGGGCAUUGAUCCCAGGAUGGCUGCUAAGUAGAAGAAGAAGCCCAUUGUGACCGAACCUCUCGCACCAAGGCAGGAAGCAGAUCCCAUUGUCUUCCCAACUAGAAUGACUGGCUCGAAGCCAAAAAGCUGGUCAACCGCUUCAGAGCUGAAGAAGACAAGGACUGCUGAGGCUGAAGCCAGGAAGAGAAAACAUCCUGAAGCCUCUCCUACUGCCCCCUCCAAGAAGAAGAGGAAGACCAAGAAAGAACGGGCUGCUCCCACAGAGCCUUUGAUUGUUGAACCCAUUUCCAUGGUUUGUCCUGACGCUGAACGCCAACUGACAAUCCAUGAGCCUGCUUUCAUAGAGGCUCAUGAAGCUGAAGACUUUCCAGUAGCUGAUCCCAUCGCUGCUGACGACAUUGGUCACCAUGACCAUGUAGAAGAUGGUGCAGUCCUUCCUCAGCCCGAGCACAGCGAACUCAUCAGCAUUGGUCGUCCUCUGACGCCAAUUGCUCAGGAUGCUUCAUGGGCUGAUCGCCCACAAGAGGAAGAAGACUUUGAGGCCCAGCCAACUCCAACUACACAGGCGUCGCCUGCGUUGCGCAGGCUUCGCAAAGGACCAAGGCCUCCAGUCUCUGCGUCUGAAGCUGAAGCUGCUGAAGACAUUCCGGCUGCAUCAGCCGAUGAAGAAGAAGUCCCACAAGCUACUACUCCCCUGUCCCACCAAGAAGCGGUUCUUGAGGAGAACGUGGUUGUGACCGACCCUCCAGCUCGUCAAGUGGAGGUUGAAAAUCUUGAGGCUGCCACCACCAACACCAAUGAAGCCAUUGACGUUGUCAUGGCUGAAGCUAAUGUGGAGCCCUCACCAACAAAAGCACCAGAAGUCAGUGAAGCCACUGAUCCCACUGCUUCUAUUCCUGCGCCUGCUGCCGGUCCUCAGUUCGACUAUCAUGUUGAGCACAGGCCUCAGGUACAGAAGCCAAUCCCAAGAUUGCCCAGGUUCCCAGGUCCUGCAUCAACACCUGGAUCCUUCAAUAUCAAUGGCUUUAGAGCAGACAACACAUUCUUCAAUAGCUCCAGGAACCCCUACUCAAGGGAAAGAAUAUCAUCUGAUCGGUUCUGGAGCUAUCCACAGCGAAGCUAUUACUCCUGCAUUCUAUACAAUCAAGCUCGCAUCUUCCCACACAAGCGUCUUGACAUUGAAGCAAUAGCUGGUCUGCCCUGUCUGGAAGAAGCUCUGGAUUGCUUCAAAGAGGUUGGAUUGCUGCCGUUCGUCACUGACCAAGAACAUUGGAAUGAAGAGUUGCUGCUCUAAUUCUAUGCCACACUUCACAUCCGCGGGUAUAAUAGAGAUCCGAAUACUUGGGUCCUAGAGUGGAUGAUAGGAAACGCUCAUCACGAAGCCAAAGCCUUUGACAUCAUUGAGCUCACUGGUCUACCCACUCCCGGCGAUUUCUACGAAUCUGGCUGUCAACUUCACAGUGAAGCUGUGGAGAGCAUCUUUCAGAAGCCUGAACCUAACAUGAGUCAGAUGCUCAGUAUGAUGAAGCCAUUACCCCAAGAUGCUGCAUAUCCCAAAGAGUUCUUUGUUGAAGACCUAGAGUAUCUACCAAGGACUAUUUAUCACAUUAUAAGGUGAACUCUCUGGCCCAUCAAAGGGCACUCUCCACAUGCCAAGCUGGAAGGUGCAAUGAAGACUUUGGUCUUCUAUAUUCUUCAUGGAAAAUGCUUCAAUGCACAUGACUUCUUCAUUCGCCAACUUGCUACAUCAGGCUCUGAUCUGUUUGGCUUGAAGUUCUACGCCCCAUGGGUAAUGCGGCUGAUCAAACUUCACUCCGCUAUCUCAUAUCAGCCAUCUGCUCACAAUCAUCGGAUUUUUCUGCCUUAUGUGGAUAUGUCUAUUGAAGCCAUCUAUCCUGAGCCUGCCAAGGAACCUCUAAGUCUUCAGAAUGCAGAGCAUCAAAGUUUUUCUCAGAACAUUGAAGGAGUUGAAGCAGUCACUCGUGUGUAUCCUUUGGCUGGCACUACACAUGCACCGCAUCCUGCUCUCACUGAAGCCACUGACAGUACAACUGCCCCACGACCCAAGAAGCGCACUCGUGUUCUCAAUGACCAAGAGCUUCUUGUGGCUCUUCAUCAGAAACAGGAUAGGCAUCAUGACUGGUUGAAGCGUCAAAUGCAAAGCCUCUUGGUGGAUGUUAAUCGCAUUCGCAAUCUUGCCACCAAGAAUGCUUUUGUUGCCCAUGAAACCUCUCGCCACACAGGGAAAGGGAUGACGCUAAUGUGUUCUGAAGAUGAUCUUCACGAGGAUGGCUUCUCUGAGCGCUUCAAGUUUGACUCCACACCUCCUCGAAGGGCAGUGCUGCGAUGAACUCCAUCUCUUGAAGGCUCUGAGUUCUCUUCCUCUGCUGCAACUGUAAAUGCUAGAGUGAUCGAGGAUGACGAUGAUGCUACUUCACCGCCGCCUCCUUCAGCACGCUUCAACACUGCUCCAAGCUCUUCUGCACCGCCGAACACCACCAACGACCCUGCUGCUUCACCUACUCUUCAUGGGAACGAGUAGAGGCUCUAUGUCUUCAAACCUUUUUGGUCCUUACUGACAAAAGGGGGAGAAGCAUAUGAGUUUAAUAGUCUUCAAGCGGGUCCAUAUGGGCGGGUGCUUCAUAUUUUGCUUCAUGUUUACAACUCUCAUUUUGAUACAUUUGGUUCUUUGAGUUGUAACACUUAAACUCGAUGGUCGUCUGCUACUAUUUGCCAUUUUGUGAUGCGAUGAUAAAUUCCGCAUGUGCGACGAUAAAUUCCGCACUCAGAGCAUUUUGUAGACGUCCAUUUUCCAUUAUGCAUGUCAUUAUCUUCACAUACCUUCACAUGCAUAGUGGAUUGUCAUCAUAAGUUGAAGAGGAUCUCCACAAGCACAACCUGCCAUGUGCAUUUGCAUUCCAAAAGCAAACUACUUAUAUGCACAUCUUCAGGGGGAGCCCUUGCAACUUAUGAAGACAAUUCCUCAUCCUUUACAAUUUCACAUAUUAUAUUCCCCGUUGAAAAAUUCAACUAGUUUGUCAUCAAUCACCACAAAGGGGGAGAUUGUAAGUGCAUCUAGUGCCACCCCUAGAUGGUUUUGGAGUAUUGACGACAAACCUAGUUGAGGGACUAAUGUGUUUGUGAGAAUUGCAGGAUAACACAAGUAGAAGUCCCUCAUUGAUUAGGUUUUCCUACCAGAGAUGACCCCUAAAAAUGUAUGAAGACAUUGAUGUCAAAGGUGGUAUAUGAAGAUAUUCACAUUGAAGACUAUGACAAGAGAAGACAUCGCAUGAAGCCUAUGGAGCUCGAAGACUUAGAUCUUUCGUAGUUCUUUUUCUUCUUCUUUGUUGAGUCAUAGGAACCACCGUACUGUUAAGUGGGGUCCAAGAGAACCAGUCAGAAUGACUGAAGUGAUGCUUAACCAAAACCUAUGUCUUCGAGUGAAGACUAUGAGAGCGAAUCUUGUCCAGAGUCGGACAAGUCAGCUUUGCUUGUAGCCCAAGUAAAGUUGUUGUGUGAGUUUGAAAUCUGACCGUUGGAACACGUGUCAGUUCCUUAGUGACCCAGGGUCAUUUCGGACAAAUCAGGUCGGGUUGCCUAGUGGCUAUAAAUAGCCCACCCCCUACAACCAUAAACUGUUGACUGCUCAGAGUUAGUGUACGGCUUUUGUCAUUUGAGAGCAACCCGCCUCGAAGCCCUUGAGAGAGAAUUCCUUGCGAGGAUAAAGCCCUAACCACCCAGAGCCAAAGAGAAUUAGGCAUCACUUAAGUCUUCUUGUCUGUGUGAUCUGAAGACUUAUUACACUUGAGGACUGUGAAUCCUCCAGCCGGUUAGGCGUCGCGUUCUGAGCAUCCAAGAGACAUUGUGGAUUGCCGGUGAACGAAGUCUGUGAAGGUUUGGGAGUAUACCUUGAAGACUUACCAGAGUGAUUGGGCGAGGUCUGUGUGACCUUAGCUCAAGGGGAAUACGGUGAGGACUGGGUGUCCUGAGCUGCGUUUUCAGGACUGGGUGUCCGGGACUGUGUGUCCUCAGGUUUAAAUACCUAGCCACCCUAACCAGACGUACAGUUGUCACAGCAACUGGAACUGGUCCAACACAUCAUUGUCUUCAACGAGUCACUGGUUUCAUCCUUCCCUUCUCUUUACGUACUGUUACUCCUUGUGAAGUCAUUGUAUGAUUGCACUAUCUUUUAUCUUCACUGAGUGACUGCAAGUUCUGUUUGGCUUCAUAAUAUCUUCCUACCUGAUCCUUACUACGUUGCUGCUAUUAGUCAUUGAGCUUUUACUCUAUUGAAUACUUGACUAUGGCUUGCCUAGUGUAGUUUACCUUCCGCUGCAGGGUAACAGGUUUAUUUCUAUCGUUUGUUUUCAUAACUUUCACGUUUUGAAGACUUUCAUAAAAAUCGCCUAUUCACCCCCCCUCUAGUCGAUAUAACGCACUUUUAAUUGGUAUCAGAGCCAGGUACUCCCUUGUUCUGUGUGAUUCGGUUUAACCACCUGGAGUUUUAGCUAUGUCGACUGCAGGGAUAAUCAAAGUCUCCGCUGCGUGCCCCGUCGUCGAUGGAACUGAAUAUCCCUACUAGAAGAAUAAGAUGCGCAUGCAUCUUGAAGCCAUUGACAUCGACCUAUGGAAUGUUGUCAAGAACGGCGUUCCCAAGACUGGAGAAGGUGUCACUGCUGUUGACGUUAAGAAGUUCGUUCAACUGGACUCUACUGCCAAGAUAGAAAAGUACAAGGCUAGGCUUGUGGCCAAGGGCUACGCCCAGAAAGAAGAAGAAGAUUUCUUCGACACUUAUUCACCUGUGGCCAGACUGACCACCAUUCGAGUAUUACUCUCGUUGGCGGCCUCGCAUGGUCUUCUCAUUCAUCAGAUGGAUGUUAAGACGGCUUUCCUGAACGAAGAGCUAAAGGAGGAAAUCUAUAUGCAACAACCUAAUGGCUUUGUGAUGGAUGGUCAGGAAGGAAGGUGUGUAAGUUGGUGAAAUCUUUGUAUGGCCUGAGACAAGCGCCUAAGCAAUGGCAUGACAAGUUUAAUGAAACGUUGACAUCUGUUGGCUUUGUUGUUAAUGAGGCUGACAAAUGUGUAUACUAUCGCUAUGGUGGGGGCGAAGGAGUUAUACUGUGUUUGUAUGUUGAUGACAUACUGAUAUUUGGGACUAAUCUAAAGUUGAUCGAGGAGGUUAAGUCUUUCCUAUCUCAGAACUUUGAGAUGAAGGACCUUGGAGUGGCUGAUGUUAUCUUGAACAUCAAGCUAUUAAGAGAUGAUGAGGGGGGAUUACACUUUUGCAAUCCCAUUAUGUUGAGAAGGUGUUGAGUCGUUUUGGAUAUUCGGACUGCAAACCAUCUCAAACACCAUAUGAUUCUAGUGUGCUGAUUCAAAAGUCUAAAGGCACAUCUAUAUAUCAAUUGAGAUACUCUCAGAUUGUUGGUUCACUAUAGUAUCUAGCGAGCACAACGAGGCCUGACAUCGCAUUUGCUAUUAGCAAACUGAGCCGAUUUGUUUCCAAACCGGGUGAUGUACAUUGGCGUGCUCUUGAGAGAGUUAUGCGCUAUCUGAAAGGUACUAUGAACUAUGGACUUCACUAUACUAGAUACCCGUCGGUACUUGAAGGGUAUAGUGAUGCGAAUUGGAUCUCUGAUGCUGAUGAGAUGAAGGCCACAACUGGGUAUAUAUUUACUCUUGGAGGUGGUGCUGUUUCCUGGAAGUCUUGCAAGCAAACGAUCUUAACAAGAUCGACAAUGGAAGCAGAAUUAACAACAUUAGACACAUCGGGUGGCGAAGCAGAAUGGCUUCGAGAUCUGUUGAUGGACUUGCUAGUGGUUGAGAAGCCGGUUCCGGCCAUCCUUAUGAACUGUGACAAUCAAACAGUUAUUGUCAAGGUGAAGAGUUCAAAGGGCAACAUGAAGUCCAACAAACACAUAAGAAUGAGAUUAAACGCUGUCAGAAAAUUGAGGAACUCCGGAGUGAUAGCGUUCGAUUAUAUUCAAACGGCUAAGAAUCUGGCAGAUCCCUUUACUAAAGGGCUAUCACGUGUUGUGAUAGAUAACGCAUCAAGGGAGAUGGUUAUGAGACCCACAUGAGUUGCCAUGGUAGUAACCCAACCUAUGUGAUCGGAGAUCCCGUGAAGUAGGACCUGGCAAAACAAGCCAGUGGUGAACUGAGGAGAGUAAUUUUACUAACACACUCCGUUGGAGAUGCAAUACUCUCGGAAACUGUAUGAAAGGAUGACUACUGUCUUAAUGUGUUCCAAGGCUUAUAUGCAUAAGCAAUAUGCUAUCCUAUAGAGCGAUCUUUGGAGGAACACACCUAUAUGAGCCCGAUUGCUGGUCACAGUCUAUGAGAUUGGGGUGAUCUCUAGCAAGCUCAUGAACAAGCCAGGAGUGUGACUAAUAUGCUCCACCCGAGGGGUCGGCCUUCGGCAGCCUCGUAUCAGUGAGACUUGUGGUGAAACUUCUUGACGCCAAACUGACAAUUCAAGGCAUAGUCCAUUGUUCAGUUGUGAAGGAGUGUAACUACUUGGUCUAGGUGGAGCUCAACCUUAAUCGGUCUCCACUGAGAUGCUGGUAUAUCAAAACAGUGUUUGGAACAAAGGAGAAAACUGGGCCCCUGAGAUCUGCUGGGGGAAUGUUGAAAUAUGAGAUGGGCCUAGAGCCCAUAUGACAAUUUCAGAUUUGAUCUCUAAGGGCCCAUGUAGGUGGCAUGACAAGGUGGUGGGAAGUUUAGUCCCACCCCGGAAGUGUAAGGAGAGUUGGAGUGGUUUAUAAGGGAUUCUCUUCCUCAUGCUAUUGGAGCUUGAGAAGAGAUGAGGCCCUCGCGCACUCCUCCUCCUUCGCUCGCCUCGCCACGCCACGCCUCGUCACGACGCGCCGCCGGUUGCGGGAUUGAAUCGAUCCGAGCUCACUCCUAUGCGCUUCUUUUUGCCGGUCAGGAACGGAGAGUCUUUGACAGGUGGGGCCACGAUCUGAGACGUCGGAUCGUGGGCUACUGACUUGGACGUGGGUUCAGCCCACGUCUCUCCACACGCAGCCGCACAUAUAAAUGUGGGGCGCUGCCAACCCUAGCCACCACAGAAACAGAACGCAUCUCCGCCUCCACGCCCGCGUCGUUCCUCUGCUGCUGCUGCCGCCGGCGACUCCGACCUGUUCACUGCGUACACGGUUGACAGGAGAGCAGGCCUCCGAAACUCCGCCUCUCCGGAUCCUGUUCGGGAGAGGGGCGAUUAGGUUUUUUGGUAGCGACUACGCGACUGCUCGCUUCUGUUCAUCUAUGUCCACACCAUCUUCGUCAUCACCAUGUCGACCGACGCCAACCGUGCCGCCGCUGAGAAGGCCGAGGCCGACAAGAAGGCCGCCAAGGAUGCCGCGGCUACCGCCGCCGCCACCGCCGCCGCAUGGCCGAUUGGAGGGUAUACAUCAUUUAUCCCUCUCAUGUUUCUUUCUGUUGUAGCAGUACUAGCGAUAUGCGUAGAUGUUUCUACUAUAUGCGUAGUACAUGCUCUGUUAGAUCGUAACCAGUGUGUUAUCAAUACUGUCAAUGUCAUGCUCAUGAUUUAUUCAUGGAUUAAUUUAAUCAGAAAACUGCCUAUUUUCUUAUCAAUCCAAAAACCUAAUUUGUGUAGGAGUUUUUCGAAUUCUGGUUUUGCUGCUGCACUGAAACCGUCGCCGUUUACGGGGACGUACUUUAAGCGUUGGCAGACUAAAAUCAUCUUAUGGCUCACUGCCAUGAACGUGUUCUGGGUCGCCGGUGUGACUCCCACAUUAACGAUCGCUCCUGAUCAGGAGAAGGCGUUCAAGGAGGCCACUUUCGUGUUCCUCGGGGCAGUUCUGAGCGUGAUUGGAGAUAAGCUGGUUGACGCAUAUUUGCAUGUGCGGUCUGCCAAGGACUUGUGGGAGGCGCCCGAAUCUAAGUUCGGGGCUGCCGAUGCAGGGAGCGAGAUGUAUAUUAUAGAGCGGUUCCAUGAUUACAACAUGGUUGAAAACCGUCCUGUAUUGGAGCAGGCUCAUGAGAUAAUAUGCAUUGUUAAGGAGCUUGAGCUUCUUAAGUGCGAGUUACCGGGCAAGUUUGUCGUGGGCUGCAUAAUCGCUAAGCUUCCCAAUUCCUGGAGGAACUUUGCCACCACUCUGAAACAUCAGAGGCGUGAAUUCUCUGUGGAGGAUGUCAUUGGCCAUCUGAGUGUUGAGCAGAAUUCAAGGGCAAAGGACUCGCACGGAAAAGGGGUCGAAGGAACUUCUGUGGCCAACAUGGUGCAUCAGAAGAACUCCAAUUCCCACAAGCCCAAGGGAAAGAACGGUGUCCAACAGAGUGCCGACUUUAAGAAGAAAGGUAAGAAGACCUUAAAGUAGAACAAGAAGGAUGAGGGCUGCUUUACUUGUGGUUCGCUUGAACAUUGGGCCAACAAGUGCCCAAACAAGUAUAAGAAGCAAGGACAGGACUCCAAGUCUGUCAAUACGAUUGUGAGCAACAAUGAGGGUGGUGUAUCUGGUACGGUAAUUUAUUUGCUGUAUUUUCAGUUUGGCCGUCCACCGAUUGGUGGGUCGACACAGGUGCAGGUGUUCAUGUGUGUGCUGACAUUUCAUUGCUUUCUUCUUACCAGGCCACAGGUCACGGGUCCGUACUGAUGGGGAAUGGCGCGAAUGCUUCUGUUCUUGGUGUUGGCACGGUCGAUCUGAAGUUUACUUCGGGAAGGAUCGUGCAGCUGAAGAACGUGCAACAUGUCCCCGCCAUCAAGAAGAACCUCGCUAGUGGCUCCCUUUUAUGUAGAGAAGGGUUUAAGUUGGUAUUUGAGUCUAAUAAAUUAGUUUUUACGAAAUAUGGACUAUUUUUUGGAAAGGAUUAUGAAUGCGGAGGCAUGUUCCGCCUUUCUCUUGCAGAUCUAUGUAAUAAAGUCAUGAACAAUAUUCAUUUGAGUGUUAAUGAAUCUGAAGUAUGGCAUUCACGUCUUUGUCACAUUAGUUUCGGUGUUAUGACGCGGCUAGCAAAAUCGAAUUUAAUCCCGAGUUUCACUUUAGCCAAAGGUUCUAAGUGCCAUUCGUGUGUGCAAUCUAAGCAACCUCGCAAGCCUCACAAGGCAGCAGAGGAGAGACACUUGGCGCCACUGGAACUCAUACAUUCUGAUCUUUGUGAGAUGAAUGGUGUUUGACUAAAGGUGGAAAGAAAUAUUUCAUGACUUUGAUAGAUGAUUCCACUAGAUAUUGCUAUGUGUAUCUGUUAAAUACUAAAGAUGAGGCUCUACACUACUUCAAAAUCUAUAAGGCAGAAGUUGAGAAUCAACUUGAAAAUAAAAUUAAACGAGUCCGGUCAGAUCGUGGUGGAGAGUACUUCUCGAAAGAGUUUGAUGCCUUUUGUGCGGAACACGACAUUAUUCACAAGAGGACACCUCCUUACUCACCCCAGUCAAACGGGGUUGCCGAGCGGAAAAACCGUACUCUAACUGAUUUGGUUGACACCAUGUUAGUGAAGGAAAUAUGCCCUAGAGGCAAUAAUAAAGUUAUUAUUUAUUUCCUUAUAUCAUGAUAAAUGUUUAUUAUUCAUGCUAGAAUUGUAUUAACCGGAAACAUAAUACAUGUGUGAAUACAUAGACAAACAGAGUGUCACUAGUAUGCCUCUACUCGACUAGCUCGUUAAUCAAAGAUGGUUAUGUUUCCUAACCAUGGACAAAGAGUUGUUAUUUGAUUAACGGUAUCACAUCAUUAGGUGAAUGAUCUGAUUGACAUGACCCAUUCCAUUAGCUUAGCACCCGAUCAUUUAGUAUGUUGCUAUUGCUUUCUUCAUGACUUAUACAUGUUCCUAUGACUAUGAGAUUAUGCAACUCCCGUUUGCCGGAGGAACACUUUGUGUGCUACCAAACGUCACAACGUAACUGGGUGAUUAUAAAGGUGCUCUACAGGUGUCUCCAAAGGUACAUGUUGGGUUGGCGUAUUUCGAGAUUAGGAUUUGUCACUCCGAUUGUCGGAGAGGUAUCUCUGGGCCCUCUCGGUAAUGCACAUCACAUAAGACUUGCAAGCAUUGCAACUAAUGAGUUAGUUGUGAGAUGAUGUAUUACGGAACGAGUAAAGAGACUUGUCGGUAACGAGAUUGAACUAGGUAUUGAGAUACCGACGAUCGAAUCUCGGGCAAGUAACAUACCGAUAACAAAGGGAACAAUGUAUGUUGUUAUGCGGUCUGACCGAUAAAGAUCUUCGUAGAAUAUGUAGGAACCAAUAUGAGCAUCCAGGUUCCGCUAUUGGUUAUUGACCGGAGACGUGUCUUGGUCAUGUCUACAUUGUUCUCGAACCGUAGGGUCCGCACGCUUAAUGUUACGAUGACAAUUUCAUUAUGAGUUUAUGUAUUUUGAUGUACCGAAGGUUGUUCGGAGUCCCGGAUGAGAUCGGGGACAUGACGAGGAGCCUCUAAAUGGUCGAGACGUAAAGAUCGAUAUAUUGGACGACUAUAUUCGGACAUCGGAAAGGUUUCGAGUGGUUCGGGUAUUUUUUCGGAGUACCGGGGAGUUACGGGAAUACGGGAGAAGAAGAAUAUGUGCCUUAUUGGGCUUUAGGGGAGAAGGAGAGGCAGGCCGCGCGCCCCCCAAGGCCUAGUCCGAAUUGGACUAGGGGGAGGGGCUGCGCCCCCUCCUUCCUUCUCUUCCCUCUUCCCCUUCCUUCUCUCCUACUCCUACUACAUGGAAGGACUCCUAGUUGG
rnacentral:lncRNA from 1 species